rnacentral:lncRNA from 1 species
UUAGAGUGUGCCUAUAGCAGACAUUUUUAUCCCUCUUAUAUUAUACUGUUUUGGCUUUUAAAAAAACAUAUUUGAUAUGGCAAAAUUGACAUUUCACUUAUUUAAUAUUAAAAUAUAAAUAAUUCUUUAACGGUAACUAACUAGAUAGACAUAUUUAAAAAUAUUAGAACUUUUAUAGGGACAAUAUAUACAAAUUAAACUUUAUAGAGAUAUAUUUAUAAUACACUAUAUUUGCAGGGACCCGUAUGCAUUUAAUCUUUCUUUAAAUUUUACUAAAAUUCAAAUCAGAAGGGCUUCUUAGAACCCAAAAACAUAACAGUUGAGGGAUUAAUUUCGAAAUAAAACAUAGUCGAGGGUCUCUCCGUACAUUUUUGCUGCGCUUUGAAUUCGAGAACUCAUGUCCCCUCGGCUUUGUAGGGAUCAAACGAGAAUAAAUGUAUACGGAAAUAAUGCUUUGGGUCACACCAUAAAUAGUUUUCUCCGGAUGGUUCACGUACUGUGUUGACCCUGUGGAUCAUAUUAAAUGUAAUAAAAGGGCAAUUGUUUAUAGAGUUAAUUUCAUACACGACCCUGCAAACAUAGUGAAUGACAAAUAUAUUUCUACAAAGUUUAACUUUAAUAUAUUUUUCCUUCAAAAGUUCUGAUGUUUUCAAAUAUAUCCCUCUGAUUUGUUAUCGUUAGAGAACUAUUUAUAUUUUCAAUUUUAUCGUCACAAAUAUGUCCCUCCAAAAUCUAUAACAGUAUAAUAUAAGAGAGGUAAAAAUGUUAAAUCAGAGUUAAGUAUUUAACCUAUGAUUAACUAAAUUUUUCUAACGGAUUCUAACAACAGGGACAUAUUUAAAAAUAUCAGGGCUUUUGCAGGGACAAUAUAUGAAAGUUGAACUUUGUAGGGGUAUAUUUGCCGUUCACUGUAUUUGCAAAGACCUGUAUGAAAUUAACCCUUGUUUAUACAUCUAUGAAAAGUUUCAAACUUUUUUUUUUAUUUAUUCGACUUAAAAGGUUAAUCUAAAAAAUAUUUUUUAAUAUUUCAAGUUCUUUCAAAUAUACCUAUAAAUUAAAUUUUGUUAGUAAAUUAUUAGAAACCAUUGUUAUUUAUGUGAAAUUACUAUUUUGUUUUUUUAAAUAUACCAUCUACCAUCACCAAUUUAGAGGUGUCCGUGGACCGGAUCAGGUUCGGUGUCACGCCCCGGGGUCCCAUUUUGGUUUAAAAAUAAAGCGGAAGUGCUAAAAUUUUUUUUUUUUGAAACCUGACUCCCAGGAUAUGCCAGAUCCGCUACAAAUAUAGGGAGUCUACUGUUCAUACGGACAGAGUCUCCCCUGUAUUUGCACGGCGUCGUACAAAUACAAGAUACAUAAACAUGAUACAACCAUCACAACUGAAUAUAUUGUAACGCCCCGAGACCCACCUAUUUGGUCGGAUUUGGGCCCGCUAACAGACCGCCGAACUGACAGAGUUUUCACUAUACGUCUUAAGCGUCGCAAUCAAUACAAUUCACGAGAUUCCAACCAGAAACAGAUUUCCGGUAGAGAUUGCAUAAGGAAGUAUCAAAAAUAUGAAACAACUAAGUUAUUACAAGCAUUCACAUCACAUGCUUUUUACAAUUUACAUUUUCAUUUUCUCUUCUUCCAAAUACAAUCAAGAUUAUCACAAGUUUAUCUUUUCAUCUUUUCUACAUCCCUAGCUGGGCUGACUCGGGGUACCGCUAUCUCUGGUCUUAGUGAUAGGGCACUAUCUACGAAGCUACGCCCUUUCCUCGCGCCACCGCACCGCUCACGUGUAAACCUGAAACCCCAAAACCAUGUAGGGUGAGAACUAUUGUCCAUAGUUCCCAGUGGGUAUGGCCACCCAAGGGAAGAGCUCGACCCACCAGGUCCGAAGAAGGGACUGCAACAUGUUAGUCCAACAAAUAUAUGUUAAGUAUUGUGUGUUGGCAAGUUUCGUGAAGUGAGUCGGAGUCUUGAAGAAUCGAUGCGUAUCAUCGAAGAUCAAAGAAUUCAAGAUUUCGAAGAAAUUGAAAAAUGACUCAUGAUGUGAAUCACGAUGCUCAGGUAAAGUGUUAAUUCAUAUUAUGGUGAUUCAUAGUUAGUUGUAGGCAUUAGAAUCAUAAUAUCAAUGUUUACUGGAUUAAAAAGUGUAUCGAAAUUUUGCAAAACCCGAAACGGUGGAAAUUUGCAAAGUGUACCGGUACAGCAUCAGAAGUGUACCGGUACAAAAUGUGUACCGGUACAGCCAUCAAUAUGUAACAGGUUUCACUGUUUCGUUAGUUUUUUCUUUCCGUCAUCGUGUAACCGGUGACAGCUGAAAGUGUACUGGUACACAGUGUAAAUCAUAAAAACUUUCUAAUCGACUCCAAUUGAUUCUAAAAUCUAUAAAUAAGCUAUUGGAGUUCUCUAACAAAUCAAGCAUCACGAAAAUACAUGUUUGAGAAACCCUAGAGGCUCGGAUUUCAUCUAAAACCUAUUUUCUUCAUAAAGUCUCUUUUAGGUCAAAUCGAGAGAUUGUAAUUUGAUAUCAAUAUGUCGAUUUGAUUUUCGCUUCGCCUGGAGAUCGUUUUCCUGGUUUUCAUCGAUAUUCUAAGAGAAGGAUCACCAUAAUCAUGAUGCUCUUCGUGACGGCGUCGUGGAUUCGGCGUGAUUGACGGCAGUUCGUGGAUUCGGAUCGUGAGCUUCGUGGAUUCGGAGUGGAGGCAUUUCGUGGAUUCGAAACGUGGCGUUCGUGGAUUCGAACGUGAGGGCGUGGACAACCCAGAGGAUUGCGCGAGAUUCAUAGGAGGUUAAGAGAGGUCGAGUCCGUGGAGUCGGUAAUCACCUUGUAAUCUUUUCUCUUAGUGAAUUAUUUUUUCGCGUGUUGGUCCCGUGGAUUUUUCUCCAAGUUGGAGUUUUCCCACGUAAAUCUCGAUGUGAUUUUUAUUUUUCGCAUUAUUUUUUUAUUGCAUUGAGAUUUGUGGUUUUUGGCCGUUACACCUAUUCACCCCCCUCUAGGUGUUGGAUACAAUCUAGAUAGAUCCUUGGGCUCCUCAAAACUUUCAAUUGGUAUCAGAGCGAGAUCUAGAUAAAUUGUUAUCUAAUGGCCGAAGGCGGAAACAUUAAUCGACCACCGCUCUUCGAUGGCACAAACUAUGCCUAUUGGAAAGUUCGCAUGAGAGCUUUUCUAAUCGCAAUCGAUGAGCGCGUUUGGCAAUCUAUAGAAUUUGGAUGAAAACAUUCUAUUGAAAAGGUCGAGAAUGUUGAAACGCCAAAACCACGAAACAAGUGGACAAAAGAUGAAAACGAGUCAUCUUCGUUUAACGGUAAAGGAAUUAACGCUUUAUUCAACGCUUUAUCGCAAACGGAGUUUACUCGUGUUUCGGCAUGCGAAACGGCAAAGAAAAUUUGGGAUACUCUACAAAUUACGCAUGAAGAAACAAGCUUAGUAAAGGUUCAAAAAUUACAAAUGCUAACAAGCAAAUUCGACUCAAUUUUUAUGGAAGAAAAUGAAACCUUUACCGAGUACUACACGCGUCUACAAGACGUAGUCAAUACAUGCGCUAACUUGGGAGAGAAAAUCCCGGAUGCUAAGCUUGUUAGAAAGAUUCUUCGAACUCUUCCGGAACGCUUUCGGGCAAAAGUUGCCGCGAUCGAAACCGUAAAGCAUCCGGACGAGAUGAAAGUCGAAGAGUUAGUAGGCGCUUUACAAACGUAUGAGAUGACUUUUCCUACUAACCCAUCUUCUUCUAAGUCUUUUUCUAAAAGCACAGGGGUUGCACUCAAAUCAACAAAGAAACAAAAAGACGACUCGGAUUCCGACAGAGAUAUUUCGCUCGCCGAUUUUGAACAUCAACUUGCACUCCUCACGAAGAAGUUUCGACGGAAUUUCCGAAAGAAGAACAAUUCGGACAAGGCUUCAUCCUCUAAGCAAAAAUUCUUUUCUAAGCAUUCUUCAAGUUCUAAACUAAGGAUAAAAAACUUGUAAAGUCUUCGAAAGAAAAAGAUGAAUUUGAAGGCGAAAUUCAGUGUUACAAAUGCAAAGGCUACGGCUAUAUCGCAACGGAUUGUCCUUCAAAGAAGACUUAUAAGCAAAAGGCUUUGCAAGCUAAGACUUGGGAUGAUUCUUCUUCUAAUGAAUCAUCUUCAAGUGACGAAGAAAAAAGUGAUCAUGUUGCUUAAUUUACUAACACUUCUUUAUCUUCGUCUAAUGUUGUUUGUUUAUCCUCUAUUGCUACUAAUUUCAAUGUUUCUUUUUCUUCGCAUGACUCUUCGAGCGACCAUGGCGAAAGCGAAGAGGAAUCAAACGACGAGGACUUAGCAGAAGCAUACAACCAAUUUCUAAUUGAUUCGGAAAAGAUGACCAAGCUCAAUAAGAAGUUGAGGCGUCGGUUAUUGGACAUUGAAGAGGAGAACAAAAAUUUGAAGACCACGAAUAAAGCUCUUGAGGAGGAAAGGGAAGCAAUAUUGAAAAACAAUUCGAUCCUCCAAAAGAAGCUAGAGGAAGAGGAAUUAACGGUCAAAUAACCUAAAGACAAGAUUGGAUUUUUGGAGCAUCAAUUUCAGGAAAUUCAUGCAUCCAAUCUAGUCUUAACUAGUCAAGUUUGUCAACUCAAAUUCGAUCUUCAAAGAUUUUCUUCUGGAUCAAAGAAACUAGAUCAUAUACUCGGAUUAGGUCAAACAAACAAGUUGGACCUCGGCUAUGAAAGGACAUAUGUUGAGAAUGAUCAAACGGCGACAUCUAAAGUCUCAACAACUUUAAAGGAAAAAAUAUGUCAUCGAUGUGGAAACAAAGGACACAUCAAAAAGAGUUGCCCGGUAAAAAUAAAGAAGAAUCAUUCGGCAACUUCUAAAGCUCAAUUGACACAAUCUACGACUCGACAUUCCCCACGGAAUCAAAAGCAAAAUCAUUUAAGUCAAACACCUCUAGGGAACCGUUUUUCUAAUGCACAAUGUCAUGUUCAACCGAACCCAAAAGCAAACCGGAUUUCUAAGCCUCAACGAUAAGUUCAACCGAAGCCUCAAGCGACGAAACGACCAACGGUUGAUAAAAAAUCAAAGCAAAUUGUGCCUAAUGUCGACAAGACAAGACAACGCAAAAUCCGACAAGUUUGGAUUCGGAAAGGUGAUAUCUUUCCUUGCUCUUCGUCUUAGUUUGUUUUUUUGUAAUGCUUUGAUUGGUGCUUGUUGCAUAUUUUUAUUCAUUGCAUUACAUGAUGAUUUCCGUGUGCAAAAUUUUUUUUUAAAAAAAAAUGAUUUGAGGAAGGAUGUUUGGGAAUUUUAAAAAUUUCUUUUGAGAAAGGAGACGAUUGAAAAUCUUUAUUUUGGGGAGAUUAGAAUUUUUCAAAGUGUUUUUAACCGGAAUUCAUCUUGAAUUAACUUCAUAUUAAUUGUCGGUUUUAAUCCACUGUUUAUUAUUUUGACGAUAAUUUAAUAUAUGAUUUCUUAAUACAUAUAUUUAUCAAAAUUUUGAAAUCAAAUUUGAUCUCUUGGUGAUUAAUCUAUCUCAGUUGUGUGUGUUGGAUAUGAUAGAUGGAUAUUCGCUAAUAGACUAAAAUUUGUCAAAAUUAUUUUCAAUUGUAAGAUUGUCUAAUUUAGGGGGAGUUUAAAAUUAUUUUUUAAAAAAAGGAAGAAACUCCUAUAUUUAAAAAAUGUGGAAAGAGUUAUAUACUAAAAGGAGUGUGAAAACUAGCACCACAUGUAAGAAAGAGCUACCACCCUGGUCGUCCGGCAAGUGUGUGAGCUACCACAUAAAGAUUGAAUUGAAUAAUCGAAGAUGUUGAAAAAAAAAUAUAUUUUAGAAUUUUCAGAGUGAUAAGGUGUUAGUUUGAAAAAGUUGCUCAAAGAGCCACCCCCGAUAUCAUAUUAGUUAAAUCUCUAUUUUGAACGGAUUGCGACAAAUUGGUGUCAAUUUUGCCGAAUUUCUAAAAAUCAUUUUUCGUGUACCGUUACAUCUUGAUAAUUUUGAAACUCGAGGUCAUUUUUUAUAACAAAUUUUGAUGUUUCGGUGUAUUUUGAAAUCUUAUAAUAUUUUACCUUCAUUAUAAUGAUUCUUGGAGUAAAGUCCUUAAUUUGUAUGAAAUUAAUUUAAGUUUAAAGAAUUUUUAAAUUUAAAAUUUUGAAAUAUGGGAAAGUAUACUGGUACAAAAUCCCGUGUACCGGUACAAAUUACUGUAGCCGCGGACAUAAAACCGCUUACAGGGCUUUUUUUCUCCUCCAAAUCUAAAUCAAAUUUUGUUUUCUCUCUCUCUAAAAUCCCCAGGAGACUUCCUCUUCCAGAUCUACUCUGUUUUCGCAAAAAUUAGUGAGUAUUUAGCUUGGAUUUAGUCGUUUCAUCGCGUUCUUGCCUAUUUUUCGAGAAUAUUCCGAGUUGAAGCUAGAUCUCUAUUUUGAUUCGUUUUUGAUGGAAUUUUUGCUUCGUUUCAGUUUGUAUGCAUGUAUAAUUGCUUCUAUAACGUUUAGAUCAUGUCAUAAUGCGUUAUUUUUCGCUGAUCUAUGAUCCUUAUAUCAUAAUACAUGGAAUUUCGGGAUAGUUGUUGGAAUACCAAUUUUUUAUGAAAUUUUUUGCAUGAAUGAGUUUGAAAUAGCAUUAGUAUGCAUUCCAAGAAUAUUAGAUAUUUUUUCGCUAUUUUUACAGAUUUUUCAAAAUUUUCUUCAUGUAUGGCUCAUUUUAAUGUAGGAAAAUGACGUUCUCGCUUGUGAUUCUGCUUUUGGUGCUUAUGGCCGCCGGUCGUGGCCGUGAUGGUGGUCGAGGACGUCGCGGGACAUCAAAGAGAACUCAUACUGUCGACGAGUCAUCAGGAUCCGAUCCGGAUUAUCAAGCAAGCUCACCUGAAGCUACUGAAGAAGCUGUUACUAGGGCUGCUAAAGGAAAAGGCAUAGCAGGAGAAUCCUCGCGAUGAGGUAAUUCUCGUGCGCGUGAGAGUCGCUCCAAACGUGCUGCAGAGGCUUCAUCAGAGCGACGGAGGAUUUAUUCGAGUCGAUCAGUUCUAGUUGAGCGCUAUGUCAACUUUACUGAGCUGAUCAAGGAGGUUCCAGAUUUUGGUCGAUUGCUGCAGCCUGUAGGACGGGUUCAAGCUCGUGCUCCAUUCUGUGUGGAACUUAUUCGGGAGUUCUAUAUGAACGGGAUGGUGCUUGCAGAGGAUGAGGAGACUGGGACUUAUGUGUUUGAGACAUAUGUGCGUAACCAGAAGAUUCAAGUCACGCCUUACACUAUUGGAGAGCUCUUAGGUAUGCAUAUUGAUACUACUGGCCUUCACUAUACGACAGGGCUUUAUCAGUCUUCGACCCACUGGGAGACUGUUAUUCGAGCUAUAUGCAAGGAAGGCGUGAGGACAAAUCAUUCAUACGCGAAGGAUUUGCUACCCGAGUACCAUCUACUCUCCUUGGUGAUGAACUACAAUGUUCAACCUACAAUUGAAACAAAAAGGAUUCGUUGGGUUCGUUUGGUGCUUCUAUAUCUUCUUGGACAUCCUAAGGAAGCGGAUGGGUUGAACAUCAAUAUUCUCUUUCUGAUGUGGCAAAGAAUGGCCCAUGUUAUACAGUCUCAAGUUCGACGUGAUCUACUUCCGUUUCCGUUGUUGAUCACGAGGAUUCUUCAAGAACACGGAGUUGAUGUGUCGUGUGAGAAGUAUGACAUUGGACUUGGACCGAUAGAUAUUGUGACCUGGGCCAAGUCAAGAAGCACACUGAAGACUUUUCAGCAAACUAAGGGAUCAUCCAAAUGAGCUUCUAGUUCAGUACUUCCACCUCGAGCAGAGCGUGAGGGAUCUUCAAGCUCAGGGAGAGUGAUUACUGUAGAAUCACUUCACCAUGAAGUACGCUCUUUGAAGAAGAAAGUAGAAAGUGGCAGAUCUUGCUAGAAAGGUGGAGAUGGGAAUGAAGAGAAUGAUGGAGAAACUGGGAUGUAGGCAUGAUGAUAUUUUUCCUACUCAGCCUACCUACUCCACUUAUACCAGAUCGACAUCGCGACAUCCACUCAUUCCACCGUCCGGUGAUGCUCCUAAGUCUGGAGGAUUUGGAGCUGCCGCAGGAGAUGACGAUGAUGAUGACGAGGACACUGAGUGACUUCUUCCUCGAGUUCUGUUUUUCUACUUUGCUUUUUAGGAUGAUAUUUUAGUUUAGCUUUGCUUGCUUAUUUUUCUUUUGCAUGUUUUUACUUUUGCUUUAGGUCUGUAACUAUGACUUGACUAUUCUUAUACUUUCUAGUAUGUUUUCUCUCUUUAUAUGCUUUGUCUUUGGCAAUUUUUGACAAAAAGGGGGAGAGCAAUGAUGAACAGGUAUUGAUCUAAGCAAAGGUGAAGAAGGAACAAAGGGCUAAGCAAAGGUGAAGAAGGAACAAAGGGAGAGAAGGAGUGCAAUUUUGAGGAGAAGAAUGAAUAAAGAACAAAGGGAGAGAAGAAGCGUAAUUUGUAAGAAUGUCCAGGUUUCAACUUUCUAUAUUUUUUUUGGAUAAAUUAUUUUGCAGGAAAUCAAGACUUCAAGACUCCUUGUUGCUUCUAAGUCAUAGAGUCUGUUUUAGGAGUUUUUGAUGUACUUUUGCGUUUCAUAUUGUAUUUGGAUCACAUGCAAGGGGUUCAAUGUUUUGGUGAUGACAAUUGAACUUCGUUUUUUCUUUAAGAUGUAAUUUUUUGAGUUGUUGUGAGUUUUGUCACGAAAUUGCCAAAGGGGGAGAUUGUUAAGUAUUGUGUGUUGGCAAGUUUCGUGAAGUGAGUCGGAGUCUUGAAGAAUCGGUGCGUAUCGUCGAAGAUCAAAUAAUUCAAGAUUUCGAAGAAAUUGGAAAAUGACUCAUGAUGUGAAUCAUGAUGCUCAGGUAAAGUGUUAAUUCAUGUUAUGGUGAUUCAUACUUAGUUGUAGGCAUUAGAAUCAUAAUAUCAAUGUUUACUGGAUUAGAAAGUGCAUCGGAACUUUGCAAAAUCCGAAACAGUGGAAAUUUGCAAAGUGUACCGGUACAGCAUCAGAAGUGUACCGGUACAAAAUGUGUACCAGUACAGCCAUCAACAUGUAACCGGUUUCACUGUUUCGUUAGUUUUUUCGUUCCGUCAUCGUGUAGCCGGUGACAGCUGAAAGUGUACUGGUACACAGUGUAAAAUCUUGAAAACUUUCUAAUCGACUCCAAUUGAUUCUAAAAUCUAUAAAUAAGCUAUUGGAGUUCUCUAACAAAUCAAGCAUCACGAAAAUACAUGUUUGAGAAACCCUAGAGGCUCGGAUUUCAUCUAAAACCUAUUUUCUUCAUAAAGCCUCUUUUAGAUCAAAUCGAGAGAUUGUAAUUUGAUAUCAAUAUGUCGAUUUGAUCUUCGCUUCGCCUGGAGAUCGUUUUCCUGGUUUUCAUCGAUACUCUAAGCGAAGGAUCACUAUAAUCAUGAUGCUCUUCGUGACGGCGUCGUGGAUUUGGCGUGAUUGACAGCGGUUCGUGGAUUCGGAUCGUGAGCUUCAUGGAUUCGGAGUAGAGGCGUUUCGUGGAUUCGAAACGUGGCGUUCGUGGAUUCGAACGUGAGGGCGUGGACAACCCGGAGGAUUGCGCGAGAUUCAUAGGAGGUUAAGAGAGAUCGAGUCCGUGGAGUCAGUAAUCACCUUGUAAUCUUUUCUCUUAGUGAAUUAUUUUUUCGCGUGUUAGUCCCAUGGGUUUUUCUCCAAGUUGGAGUUUUUCCACGUAAAUCUAGGUGUGAUUUUUAUUUUUCGUAUUAUUUUUUAUCGCAUUGAGAUUUGUGGUUUUUGGCCGUUACACCUAUUCACCCCCCUCUAGGUGUUGGAUACAAUCUAGAUAGAUCCUUGGGCUCCUUAAAACUUCCAACAUAUAUGCAAGUACUAAAAUACAUGUUAUGCCUCUCAACAUGCAACAAUGCAAAUCAUGCAACUAUACAACUCAACAUGCAAUAAGCUAAGUAGAUCGACUGAUUCUACUUUCAAUCCUGCUAUCCACAGCUCAUCCAAUUGACAUCUAAGGUUUCCUCUAUCUUAGAUUUAUGUCAAUGACCAUUCUACUCAUAAGGUUUCAUCUACCUUUACAAAUCUAUCCACUCGACUCGGUCUUGAGUCAAUCAUUCGCGGAGUACCGCGUAAAACAAGGCUCAAGGUGAAGGACAUCUUACUUGCACCUCAGCCUUAAAUUCACUCAACUAGGAUACCAAAUCUACUCUACUGGGAUUCAACUACAGCUCAUAUGCUUAUCACCCAAUCAAUUGGCUAACCCGAAGGUUUCGCCCCAACUCGUAUCUCAAAUCCCAUAGAUGGGGAGCUACCCUGCUCUUGUCCCACCCGACUCACAUUUCAAAUCCCAUAGGUGAGAAGCUACCCCGCUUUUUUCCAUCCGAGACCGUCUGCUGGAAAACUAUGUCUGCCCCUCAGGUGACCACCUCUGGAGUGCACUGCUUGUGUGGAGCGACCACCUCAAGCUCAAAAUAGAAUAUGUGAGUACGAUUCAAUCCUCGCCAACUGAGGAUACCCUAUCAACUAGGAAUAACAAUAACACGGGAAAUCCACUAAUCCGAAUACUCAUGUUACAAGUGUCUCUACUACACUAGUUUCACAUAGCACAUAUCACAACAACUUGGGAAUUUUUCUAUCCCUAUGUCCAUAUCAGUGUUUUUACUACACUAGUUCCAAAUGCCACUCGAUCUAAUUGAUAUUCUAAUUGUCCACAUCGAGUAUCAUAGUUCAUAUGUCCUUAUUUUCUAAUGUCGAAUUCUCUAAUCAACCUAGAGUUAUCGACCCAAGUUCAAAUAUGUUACUUAACAUAAUCACGAUAUAUCAACAUGCAUAGUUCAUCUAACAUAAUCCAUCAUAUGUCAUUAUGCAUUUCAUCUAGCAUAUAUAAUAUGUCAACAUGCAUAUUCUAUCUCAUGCAUUCAUAUAGCCUCUAUGUCAUGCAUUCACAUAGCAUCUCAUGGUAGGUAACAAUAUCAAGCAUAAUAUGAUUCCUAUAUUCACAUUAUCAUGUACAACUUACCAAAUAUACACACAUGAAUCAAUGGUAACCACGCAUCAUCAUAAUCAUCCAAUGGUAGUCUAACAUAGCAUUCAUCUCAUGCAUUUAUAUAUUUUAUAACUAACCACCAACUAACCACCAUAUAUGCAUCAAUGAUAAUUAACACUUCACUUCGAUAUGGAAGUGAGCUAGUAUCUUCGGUGAGCACAACCCACCUCUUAACGCUUUCUGAUUGCUUGUAGUCACUUGCAAUCGGCCUCCCGCGGCACGCGCUAUCCUGUUCGGUCCGAACUCGCAAUCGUCAACCGAACACUCGCCGAUCCUCAACCUAGAGUCCUCAAGGAUUAUUCUCUAACCUUCAAUUAGAGAACAAUAGGGUUCAAUUAGAUCAAAACCCAUCAUUUGCCCAAACCCCAUUUCUAUCCCUAGCAUGUAAUUAACCUCAAAAUAUUCUAAAAUUAAAUAGAGCGACAUGCUAGAAACACUCUAGAGACCACUAGAACACUAAGCAUUAAGGAUUAAACCAAAUCCUAAAAACCUACCAAUAUUGCGAACGUUGAGUCAAAAGCACGCUUCUCCACCGGGCGCACGAAGACUCGAACCGUCGCUCCCAACGCGUUCCAAAGCUCGCUCUCCGCCAACGCCGCGAAUUUGAGAGAGAGAUCUAGAGAGAUGAGGGAGAUAUCUAGAGAGAGAAAGGGAGGGUUUCUUUCUCCCUCUCCAUUCCAUAUGUGUGUGUGUGUGGCGCUCUGCUGAGGAGGAAGAAGAAGACAUGAAGUCCUCUUUUGUAGUCAACAUCCUCAAAACACUAUUACAAUUAGCAGUUUAGCAGCUUAGAAUCUGUUCCUUUUCACCGGAGCCCUUCUGAAUGUCCGUUUGCGGUCAAAUUUGACAGUCAGGCUUGGUUUAACUUAAUAAGAAUAAAGAAAUUUUAAUCUUUCAGUUCCGACCAUUUUUGGUCACUGAAAACUCUAUGACUAAAAAUCUCUAACAGAUAGCAAUUGGAUUUUAUUUUUCACUUUUCGGGUUUCAGAAUGACAUGAAACUUUAAAUCUAGCCUCACAAAAAUAAUUCUGACAUAUUCUCAGAUUUUCAUAAUUUUCUUACAAUGUGAAUUUUCUGCUAAAAUAUCAACCCCGUUUCUCACAAAAUAUUCUAAAUCUCCUGUUUUUAUUCCGAUUUCAGCAUAAGUCAUUUCCGACUUAUACUUUACUUCUUCAAGUCCAAUAAAAAUAGUAUCUUACACUAUUUUUAUUUACACUUAAUUUGUAUUAAAAUCUGGUACAUUACAUAUAUAAACAUUUAUACAUUCAUACACCAUUCAAAACAGAUUCACAUUCAGAGUUGAAUCAUAAAUUCACAACUAUUAGUUUAAAAUGUUUCCUAACCGAAAACUUAUUUUGAAAUAUUAAGUCAUGAAAAUCAUGAGAAAACUCUUUUAAAAACUGUUUUUCAGACGAAAACCCUUUUUCUUUAAAACACGCUACCAUGAGAGGUAGAAAACCAUUUUCAUCUCAUGAAAAUCAUUAAAUCUUUAUCUCAUUCACAAAAUCUCAUUUAUCCAAUUAAAUGAAAGCCAACAGAACCAUAAAGUUUAAGUUAUUUAUUUUGAAUAAGUAAGGAUAGAAACUAGACCGAAUAUCACCGGGCCGGAAACUCUAUCGACCACUACGAACGUGUCUCACAUCUCGUCUUAUCCCUCACCGCCCGCAAUACCUGAAAAAUGGUGAGGGGUGAGAACAUGUAAACAUGUCUCCUCCUCCCAAUGGGUACCGCAAGCCGACGAAGGCGAGGAGUACUCAUCGGCAGAAAGAGAUCAACAAAGUCAUAAGUAAAUAUCACAAAUACAGUAGCUAUAAUACCGGAAGGAAAGGAAACAGUAAUAGAACAUGUAACUGCCGCUACUAUAAAAUAGAACAAAAUGCAUACAUGGAUAUCAGAACUACAGUAGUAAUGAUGCAUGGGUGACCAACAGUACAAGGAAAAUAUGACUAGCUACUACUGUAAUACAGAACGAAGUGCAAGUAUGUAUUAACUGGACAUACGAGAAGUCCAAGAUAUACCCAAUCUUUGUGGCCUGUCAUGAAGACUUGGCCUAAGCUCUCCCAUAGGUCUCAAGGACCGCAAAUCAAGUACCACACCGGAGGGACACAACAACCCGCAUUCAGAGUCGUUAACUCUGUCUAAGUACGACGUAUAUCAAGACUGGGGGUGAGGACUCAGGGUGGCGAACCCUGUCUAUGACACCUCACCUCCCACUGGGCUGGCAACUGAAGUACUCUAGGUUAGUAACCCAGUUUAAGACUCCUUCAAUGUCGUACAAGGUAUAGUCAUGUAUAUGCUCAAUAGCCAAUUGUCGGCAACUAGCCGACAAUCACCGACCCUCGGGGCACCCCGACCAAUAGGUCAUCGAACCGUAAGGAAACACAAGUACCGACCACUCAGGUUAACUAGGAUAGAACAACUCCACAUCCUCCCAAAGGUAUGCAAGUACUGGUCACUCAAAGUCAACUACCAUGUAUGCGCAAGAACCGACCAAUAAGUUACAAGAAUGUCACAUCAUGUAUCAAUAUAAUCCAGAACUAACCGUCAGCCACUAGCCAAUAAUCCUACCUUUCAGGGUACACCGACCUCAUAGGUCACCAAAUGAUAAGAGUCACAAAACCAACUAACUAGGUCACAUAAAUGCCAAAUGAUGGAUCUGUAUAAACUAUAAUCAUCCGUCGACAAUUAGUCGACAAUCCCACCUCUCGUAGUAUACCGACCUCAAAGUUCAUCAAACGACAGGAGUCAUAGAACCGACCGACUAGGUCACAACAGUGUCACGAAUACGGAAUACAACAACCGACCAACUAGGUCACCGAUCUCACAUGUAAUCACGAAACUGCUCUACUCUAAACAUGGUACAGGAUAUGCAAACAGCUAAGUAGAGCAACAAGGAAACAUAGUAUAGGUGCUAGGCUCAACAUAUAAUAUAUGCAUGUAGAGUAAUAACAGGAGAACAAGGGUAAGAAGAUAUCACCGAGCGUGCACCACUGUACAAACUUCGGAUCGAAGUACCCACCUGUACGAAUACGGUACGGAUCUUCCGACUGCGGAGGAAAUAACAACCGAACCUACGAAGGGUCCACCGGGUUAGAAUCCAACCCACGAACACAAAACACUAACCCACAAUCCCCACAAACAAACCUACGAGAAUCGGUUUUCCAAAAUAGAUUGCGGAACACGUCGGAAGUCCCAAAAAUCGCACAGGGAGUCCACCGGGACCCAUGAACUGUCCCGGAACUCACCGACUCAUGCUCCGAGUCACCCGCUGCCACUAAACACCAUUAUUCAUGGGACUUGGCAGCAAACACACUGUCUCACAUCGAAAUGAUUAUCGUCGGAUAAUCGUUCAGAUCCGAAUUCCCGAAAGUGUCUAAUUCGACACCGGAACCCACCGUCGCUCACCCGUCAUUUCCGAACCCUCGAAACGACGCGGGUGACCAACCAACAAGGCUCAGCGACAACAAAAAUCUACCGUGAGGCACCGUCGGAAGAAUUCCAAACCGAAAACGCGUUCCGUCGGCGGAUUUAGCCGCAAAACGCACCAAAAAUCAACAUUUGAUUUCCAGAAAGGCUUGGGGCCUUGGACAACUAGUCCAGAGGUCACCCACUACCCACACACGCUGCCAACGGCGACCCCAACAAGCACAAUUGCGUAAAAACUCUCCCAAUAACAUAAAAUCACAUUAUUUCAUGUGAUUUUCGGGGUUUUAUGGCCCGACAACGUAAACCGAAGGUCAUUCAGCCAAGCCGAGACACCCGUUGAUAGGUCUCGGCAUGCUGGAGCACUGCCGGCCGCUGUGGUGAGCGCACGAGCUACACGAACUACAGCGAAACAGCGCGCACAGCGCCUAAAUCGCAUCUACUACGCAAACCAGGGCAUCUCUGACCCUAACGGAGGUGAGCACGAUGUUCAGCACGAAGUAGGGAUCAUCGUGCUCACUUCUAAACUUAUCGGGGUGCCCUCUGAUCGCCGGAAAGGCGACCAGAACCCUAAGACAGUGUGCAAAUAGCAUAAUUAGGGCUUACCUUACAGUAGGAGCACGGGCAGGUCGUUGACGGCCAGGCGGCGGGCGCGCCGGCAGGGGACAGGUGCGGCCGGUUAAUGGGGUCUGGGGCAGGUGCUUGUCGACGGCGGGCAGCAGCCGUUGGCGCGGCGGCAGAGAUCAGACCCGGACAACUAAGCUCGGCCCAAGGGAACAACGGCGGCCAGGCGGCGGUCGGAGGAGCCUUGCGGCGAUGGCGGCCGGUCGCCGGGGGCCAAGAGAGGGCGGUUCGGCCGGCGGUGGGCGACGACAGCGCACAGAGGCCAAAUAGGUCUCAGCUCAGCCCGCAUAGGUACUGGGCGGCCGCAGGGAGCAGUGCCAGCGGCCAGAGGCCAUAGGGACGACGACGGCGACGUGCGGAGGGUUGCCGGAAGCCCAAGGAGGGCGGUGCGGCCAAUCAGAGGCAUGGGUGAUGCGCGGGGACUAGGGUGAUCCCAGCUCGGCCUGCUUUAGAUCUGGGCGGCCGCAGCUAAACCUGGCGGCUCCGUCGGCGCACGGGGACGGCAGGGGCCGGCGGGGAUGGUGCCGGAGGUCCAACCUCGGCCGGGGAAGAGGGGCCCGAGGUUGUGGAUGCUUUCCUGCGGUCGACGGCCGAGAGUGUGGUGGUUAGGUGGAGGGAAGAGGUUGAGAGGGAGGUGUUGCUGGCUUUCCGGCAGCCGUGGGUGCUUGUCGGCGGCCGGGAUGUGCGCACGAGCCAGGCAGGGAUGGGCUGAGACAGCUAAGGCUUAGCUCAGCUGAAGAGGAGGUCCAGGAGCUAGGUUUCUUUAUGAAACCCUAGUUGCACUAUUUAUAUAUAUUAUGUACAAUUGCAAAAAGAUCCCCCAUAUCCAAUUAUUUUCAGCUCAGUCCUCACCAGUAUGUGCAUUUUGCACGCAAAGCCCCUCGACGUUCAAAAUCACGCAAAACGGCACAUAAAAUAUUAGGUUUUUCGCCAUUUUCUCAUUUUGCCAAUUUCGACCCCUCAGCGAAUAUUUCGCGAUUCCCGAAGAUCCGUCCGUCGGAUUUCUAAACAGAUCACACCAGCACGUUCAACACGACUGGAGCAUCGAAUCUACAAUUUAGUUUCGUCCGAUUCGGUCGUCGAUUUGCGACAAAACCAACCUUCUCCAAUCUCCAAAAACCACACCUAUACAUAGAAAUCCAAUAAAACUCUUUUUCUCGAAAACCGUGCAUCAAAACCCAAAUCCGUCAGUGCCAUUGGUUCCAAGAUAGUCGAACUAUUGAAAACAAGCUAUUAGAGUGCUACAAAUGGAGUCCAAUACGCAUCAGAAGCCAUCUUCUCUCAUCUGGCUUCUCCGAAAAAUCGGAGUACUAUUCACUUUAAGUGAAAAAUAAAAGUCGCGUAACUUCUCCAUUCUAACUCAUUUUCUGCUGAAACAUGACGAGUGCUUAUGUAAUUAAAUAACACACAAAAUUAUCGUCAACAAAGAGUUUAGCUAUCUUGCAAAAUCUCAGUCCUUACAUUCGGAUAGUUGAUAUACUGUACUAGUACUCUAAAAUGAAAUGGGCAGAAAAAAAAAUUUCUCUACCCAUGUAACUUCGAGUCUGGUCCGAAUCUAAAUAUUUAAGUUACUAAUAUAUCCACGAGGUCUAUUUGACCAUGUCUCGUAGUAACUACCUGUAUAAUACCAGCCUAAGAUUGGGUACAGGUCGGGUAUGAGUCUGGUCUAGAUCGGGUACGAGUACCAGUAUGCACAUAUUUUUUAUAGACUAUUAAACAGUUUAUGACAAAUCAUAAAUCUUUUGUUAAAGUUUAUAAGAAAUUUAAAUCAUACCUUCUACUAUGAUUUCGAUUUCUACACUCGGAUUGUAGAUGGCGAUUCUUACUCAUAUUUUUCCUUGUUCACGAUCUGCAAAAAAAGGAGACAUUUCAAGUCUAAUUCCCUUAUCCCAGGAGAUGGAGCCGUUACAAGAAUUAGGAUUACAGUUAGACCAGGACUCUUGUUGUCAUGUCCCGUGACCGCCAAUUUGGUCGGUUCGGGCCCGUACACAGAUGCCGAACAAACAGAACCCCUUCUGUUCGCCCAAGACUCUACAACAAUCAAACAUGUUUAAAGAAAUGCCUAGGAAAAAUUCCAAUAUAUAUGGCUUACACGAGGGUAAGCAACACAAGCAAGUGAAAGUAAACUAACUAUUACAUCCAUACAUUGUAACUUGAUUAUUUUAAAUCAAAUACAAAGGUUACCAUUUUGUUUACAUACAUUCUUCCAACAUAUACAUUUACCAUCUCUCAAAUAAAUAGUUUUAUACAAUACACUUUUCUUUCAUCAACUACAAGAUGAAAUGUACAAGGUAUAGCUAUACUCAAUGGAUGUUCGCUAUCUAUUGAGAGCUGUUCAGGUCACGACCCUCUACCACCCCGCAUGCGUUAGAACCUGCAUAGUUAGUGGAGUGAGAACUACUAAAAGUUUUCAGUGGGUUCGGCUGCUGACCUCGCCGACUCACCCACUAGGUUUACUCAGGCAUAUGUAGACAAAAAAGAACAGAUAGUAACCAAAUUAUAACUACUACAAUACCUGUACAAAGCUGAAAAGAACAAUGUAUAACUCAUGAAGUUUAUGCAUGCAUGCCAUGAUUACCAUUACCCAAUUACCUUGGUUAACUAUUUGGUUAACUAUAACUCACCGACCAAAUCCCUUUUGUCGGGGAGGAUUCCGCUACAACCCGACGGGACCGUCUACUGGGGAGAAUUCCACUACCAACCCAGUUGAUGACAACUCCGGAGCUCACCGCCCAAGGUGGAGCAACCUACUUCGAGCAUUCAGACUAAUUGUGAGUACGAUCCAAUCCUCACUUAGAGGAUACAAUGCCACACUUUAACUAGCUCUUUAUGCUAUAUUUAACAUUUCCAAUUCUAGAUGCUAACCAGUUCAUCUAGUUAUAAGGCCACGACUACAACAAGUUCAUUUUUCUUAUUUAGCCUUCACAAUACUCAGUGUUAUUUAUUCACACUAGUCAUCAUGUCACCUUGUUUUCUAUUGUCAUGGUCCAACACGAGUUCAUACAUCUAUGGGGUUCUAUAUUCAUGGUCCUUAUCAUUCCACAUGUUUUCUACAUUGGAAGUAUACCAAUUUGUUCACAUUUAGCCACAAGCUAACCUCAACCCUAUAAUGCAUGAAUGUUAACCAUGGGGGUCAGGUUUUUUUUUUAAAAAAAAAAAAUUGGGCACUUCCACAUUGGAUCUUAAAUCCAAAAGGACCCCGGGGGUGACAGAUUAAACAGGUAUCAAAGACAGGUUACAACCACGGCACCAUUCAUAGAUUGUUUUGAAAAAUAAAUAAACUGAAUCAUUGGUUAGGUUGACCCAUAGGAAGACUUACGGUACAUAGGCACGUCAUUGAGGGAUUUGGGGUUGAGUCCCGGUGUGCAUGUCGAGAUUGGUAAACUCGAAGUGCACGGUUGUUUUCGUAUGUGCUACGGUUUUCGCACAAGCUGGUGUCUCAAUCGGGAGGAGUGGCGGUGUACAUAUACGAACAUUGAGUGGCGGGGUGACGUUCCCCAAGUGUAGCCACUCCUGUCGGGUGGGGCCUUGAAGGGCCAAGUGAUGUUUUUGGGCCUAGGCAAUUGUUUUGGUUGCCGGUGCUCAGGCCACUUUCCCUACUUAGGGCACGAGAGCUGUUGCGAGCGUCUCCACGGAGACGACACUAUGAUCAGCUACGUUCGCUACUUCUGUGGGGCUACUAGGGUGUAGCCCAAGGUUUUGAUAGCGGCCGUUUAGUCGACUGCAAUGUUUGUUUUGCUUUCUCAGAUUUUUGGGUAGGGUUGUGAUGCCUACCCCUCCUCUUGAUUGCUGAUGGAAUCGGCGGUGUGAGUCUUUUGACCUUUAACUAAUUCUUUCGUCAAUCUGACGUGUUCUAGAACCGGGUAGACACAGUUUUGUUGUCGGGUUCAAUUGAUGCAUACAACCCAAAUGGGUGGAUUAUGGGAUAGUCAGCGGUUUUUAGUAGGAUUCAUCUUAACUCGAGUUACUCUAGAGUAUUGUUGAAGUUCUCGAAGCUUUGGUUAUAGCUCGGUUGUGGUGCAAAAAUCGGUUAGAGAAACCGUUUCCUAAAGCCUCAGUUUGUGCGAUUCGUGGCUUAGUGUCACUAGCAGCUUUUGGAUGUUGAAAGUUAUGGGACUCCCUGUGAGUCGGUUCAUGGUCGAUCUGAUUUUGAAUGUCGACCUGCAAAGUCGACGUUUCGACAGUUUUGGUUGUGAACUUUUGGUUCAGUAAAGAGGUAUAGGUAGCUUGAUAUUUCGAUGUGACGUGCUUCCAACUUGUUGUUGGUAGUGAAUUUUUGGGUAUUUCGCUAUUCUUUUAAUAAGUACAUUGGCUGCAAACAAUAUACUGUCGAAAGUUAGGACAAAAUGCCCUUUCCCUGUUUGGGACUUUUGGAUUGGGUCGGCGUUUUCUCUUGUAAGACAAUCUCUAGAUAUGGUCUUGUGAGAAAACUUGAGUAUUGGUCAUCUCUGACCAUAUUGUGCGCCUUGGGUUAAUCCUUGGCAGGUUUUGUGCAGCUGAUUUAUCGUCACUGCUUACAGUUUUGACCCAAGUUCGAGUCUCGGUGCUCGUUAGUUCAAUAGUUGUGCCUUCCGCAGCUAAACGGUCUGUUGGUUAGUAGUCUGGGCCUUUUUGCCGGGCAGUUCGGUAUCACAGUUGUUGAGUGACUUGAGCCUGGUUGUUGGCUUUGAUCGUCGCGAUAUGUGAUAACGUAUAAGGUUUGUGACUCGGCUUAUAGUGCAAACCUCGGAAUGGUAUGCUUGUCCGGCUAUUUUGUGACAGGUGCGCCUGGGUCUCAAUGAGACAGGUGUUUGGUCAUGCUCGGAACAUCGACCGCUAGGGUCAGCGACAGGGUCUCGUGGAGACAGGUGUUGGGCAUCACCAAUGGUUAUCAUCGCAUAUUGCGAUUGGCAACCCUGUGCACCAAGGGAUGGACUUGCAAGGAGCUUAUGGUGGUCUGAUGGUACCGGAUUAAGUUAUUGAGGAGACAAAAUUGUCGAGCUCAGUUGGCAAUGUCAGCCUUGAACCUUUUGGCCAGGCAGAAGGUGAGGUCCUAGACAUAGGACUGUCGUAAUGCCAUAGGUGGAACUGUUUGGGAUCGGAUAACCCUAGUCGCGAAACUGUUUUUGUCCGCAGGUUAUGGGAUGGUGUUGAUCCCGGUGGAUUUUGAUCCAUAAAUAUUAGCUGGUAUAUUUCCCUUGUUUUGUCCGAGUGGAACCGCAUCAAGGAAAUGUGACUAACCAGUACUCAAAGAUGAUACCAUAGUGGCGGAAUAAUAUCCGAAUUCAAUUAUGGUAGGUACGUGGUCAAGUUUCGAGGACGAAACUUUCUUUAAGGGGGGAGAUAAUGUGAGGACUGAAAUUUUGACUGUGUAACUAAACUCCUUGUUGACGAUGUUUUUGUGUGUAAUUUAAUUACAUAAGCACUCGUCAAGUUUUAGGAGAAAACGAGUUAGGAUGGAGAAGAUACGCUAGCUUUACUGAUCACUUAAGUGAAUAGUAACUCUAAUUUUUCGGAGAGGCCAAUCAGUGGAGAUGGCUUCUGGUGCGUAUUGGACUCCGUUCAUAAUGAUCCAAUAGCGCGUUUUCGACGAAUCGACUAUCCUGGACCCAAUGGCACUAACGGAUUUGGGUUUUGAUGCUCGGUUUUCGAGAAAAAGAGUCUUAUUGGAUUUAUAUAUAUAGGUGUGGUUUUUGGAGAUUGGAGAGGGUUGGUUUUGUUGCAAAUCAGUGACCGAAUCGGACGAAACGAAAUGGUAGAUUCGAUGCCCCAGUCGUGUUGAACGCGCUGGCAUGACCCGAUCGAAAAUCAGACUAACAGAUCUUUGGGAAUCUUGAAAAGUUCGCUGAGGGGUCGAAGUUGGCAAAACGGAAAUUACGCGUGAAACCAAAUAUUUUAUGCGCCGUUUUGCGUGAAUUCGAAUGUCGAGAGGCUUGUGUGCAUAAUACAUGUACUGACAGGGACUGAGUUGAAAAUAAUUAUUUAUGGGGGGACCUUUUUUCAAUUGUACACAAUAUAUAUAUAGUUGCAACUAGGGUUUUCAUGAAGAAACCCUAGCUCCUGGACUCUACCUCAGCUGAGCUAAGCCCUAGCCGUCGCCGCCCAUGCUUGCUGCGGCCAACCCGAUUCUUGUUGGGCCGAGCUCGAGCCGAGCCUAGCUUGGUUUGUGGCCGCGAGUUCUUGUCACUUGUGAUCGGCCGCGCCGUCCCCCGACGACCUCCGGCGACCCUCCACUCGCCGCCUCGUCGUCCCCGUGGUGGCCAGCCGCCGGCAUUGCUCCCUGUGACUGCCCAGCUCCCGUGCGGGCCGAACCGAGGCUUUUCCAGCUUCCGCGCGUCGCCGCCGCCUACCGCCGGCCGCGCCACACUCCCUCGGCCUCCGGCGACUUGUCGCCGCCGUCCCGAUGCUUCCCCGGCCGCCGCCUAGCCGCCGUCAACCCGUGAGCCCAGGCCAAACCGUGCAGGCUUGAUCUCCUCCGCCGCGCCAUCGACUGCCUCCUGUCGCCGGCCAGCGCGAGCUCAAGUCCCCACUGACCGGCCGCACCCGUCUCCGGCCAGCCCGCACGCCGUUCGUCCACUGUCAGCCACCCUUGGACUCCAACGUGCUCCAAUAAGGAAAUUAUAGUUUCUGCACACUGUUUUGGGGUUCCGGUCGCCUUUCCGGUGAUCCGAAGACACCCCGAUAAUUUUCAAAGUGAGCAUGAUGAUCCUGUUUCGUGCUGAACAUCGUGCACACCUCCAUUGGGGUCAGCGAUGCCUCGGUUCGCGUGAUAGACGCGAUUUAAUCGCUGUGCGCGCUAUUUCGCUGAGGUUCGCGUCGCUUGCGCGCUGGCCACAGUGGCCGGCCGUGGUCCAAAGUGUGAGUACGGCCUCCGGCACAUCGAGACUUGUCAGCAGGUGUCUAGGAUUGGCUGGAAGAUCCUCGGUUUGCGCUGUCGGGCCAUAAAAGCCGAAAACCAUAUAAAAUAAUGUGAUUUUAUGUAAUCGGGAGGGUUUCUAUGCAAUUGUACACUUUGUGGUUGCUACUGGCAGCGUGUGCGGACAAUGGGUGACCUCUGGACUGAUUGUCCAAGGCCCCAGGCCCUUGAGGAGAUCCGAAAUUGAUUUUCGGUGCGUUCGUCGGCAAAAUCCGCCGACGGAACGCGAUUUCGGUUUAGAAUUCUUCCGACGAUGCCUCACAAUAAUUUGUGUCAUCACUGAGCCUUGUUGGCUGGUCACCUGUGAUGUUUCGAGGGUUCGAAAAUGACGGGUUAGCGACGGUGGGUUCCGGUGUCGAAUUGGACACUUCCGGGAACCCGAAUCAGAACGAUUAUCCGAUGAUAAUCGUUUCGAAGUGAGAUAGGGUAUUUGCUGCUAGGUCACACGAAUAUAUGUGUUUUGUGGCAACGGGUGACUCGUGGCACAAGUCGGUGAGUUCUGGGACAGUUCGUGGGUCCCGGCAGAGUCCCGGUGUUUAAUUAUGGGGUUGUGUGUUUAGUGUUUCUUAUUUGUGGGUUAGAUACUAACCCGGUGGACCCUCCGUAGGUCCGGUUGACGAUCUUCCACAGUCGGGAGAUAGGCACGCUAUUCUUACAGGUGGGUACUUCGAUCCGAAGUCAGUAAAAUGGUGCACGCUUGGUGACGUUCUCUCCACCCUAUCUUUGUUAUCGUGCAUAUCAUGUUAUGAGCCUAGCACCUUUUGACUUCUUACUUAUUGCUCUACUUGGUUAUUGUUCGUAUUCAUCAUCAUUAUUUAGAAGUAGAGUGGACUAUCUGUGGUGACCUAUUCGGUCGGUUAUGUGACUCUUCUCAUUUGAUGACCUAAUGAGGUCGGUAUACCCUAAGGGGUAAGAUUGUCGACUAGUUGCCGACGGCUGAUUAUAGAUUACACUGAUCCAUGAUUUGACAUUUAUGUGACCUAGUCGGUCGGUUUCGUGACUCCUAUCGUUUGAUGACCUAUGGGGUCGGUGUACCCUGAGGGGUAGGAUUAUCGGCUAGUGGUUGACGACUAGUUCUUAAUUAUACUGAUGCAUGACGUGAUAUUCUUGCGAUCUAUUGGUCGAUUCUUGUGCAUGUAUGUUAGUUGACAUUGAGUGGUCAGUACAUGCACACCUUCGGAAGGAUAUAUGUUGAGUUGUUCCAUCCUAGUUGACCUGAGUGGUCGGUAUUUGUGGUUCUUACAGUUUGAUAACCUAUUGGUCGGUGUGCCCCGAGGGGCGGUGAUUGUCGGCUAGUUGCUGAUGAUUGGCUAUUGAGCAUAUACAUGUGACUAUACCUUGUACGGCACUGAAGGAGCUUAUACAUGGUUACUAACCCGGGGUACUUCAGUUGCUAGCCCAGUGGGAGGUGAUGUUUCAUAAACAGGGUUUGCCACCCUAAGUUCUCACCCCCAGACUUGAUAUACGCCAUGCUUAGACAGAGUUAGUGAUUCUGGGUGCGGGUUGUUGUGUCCCUCCGGAGUGGUACUUGAUUUGCAGUCCUUGUGACCUAUGGGCGAGCUUAGGCCAAGUCUUCAUGACAGGCCACAGGGAUUUUGUAUAUUUUUGUAACGCCCCGGGACCGGCGAAGGCCCUCCCGGUAGCGCACCCAGACCCGCCAUAUGUCUACACAUAUAAGGCGUCUACAAUACAAGCGGAAGUAAAGCAAGAGAUAGAAUAAAUAGAAUGAACAGCAACUAAUGAUAUCAGAGCGAGUAAAGUUCUAUCAUCUAAACCAGAGUAAAAGAAACAUAACUAAACAAUAAAAGUAGCCAUAAAGUAGUACAAUACUAUCUCCUCAAAAGAAAAACAAAGAUCCAAAAGAAGGGUGGUCUCUAUACAUAAANGUCUCAAAUAUACUUAAGUUUAAAUGCAUGAAUCAAAGCUCAUUUACACUAUAGAAGUAUGAAGCCAAGUCUCAUAUAGAAUGCUAGAUGCAAUCAUAGAUCUCUCAAGCAACUCUCUACUAUAUAGGAGUCCAAAAUUGCACUAUAAGUAAUAUAGGCAUUUUAAGCAUUCUAAAAUUCACAAUAAAUACAUAUAACAAGAAUAUGCAUGCUUUUUCAAUUAAUGGUACUUAAUUCAUCGCAAAUGAGAAUUUCUCAUUGUGUGGCUAGGUCAAACCCACCGAACCGUCGCGUAGUGCCUCGUUUCGCCGAACGAAGUUGUCCCCGAGUCUCAAAAUACCCUAAAAGUAUUGAGCGAAAAGAUAUACGGGCAUUACGAUCAUCUAUAAGAUCAAAUUUUAACAAACUUAGCAAAAGAGCUAAAACUCACCUAAUGUGUAGGAAAUCUCUCUCAAGCUCCAAAAGAGAGCUAAAUCCCUUCCAAACCAAGUCCAAGGAAGGUUCUAAUCCAAACAAUCUAGCCUCAAAAGCCCUAAAUCAAAAAGGCCCAAAAAUCAACCCUAACAUCCAUUCUAGGAUUCCAUAUGGUAAAACCUACCAAAUCAAUGAUCAAAGGGUAGAAUCCAAGUACUAACCUCCCAAGAUGCCUCCAAACAAGCUCCAAAUCUUCUAGGGUUGAAGAUUGGUCCACCACCAAGCUCUACAAGCAAGCUCUAAGCCUUGCAAGGGUGGAAAGGAGAGAAAGGGGUUGAGCUCCAAGCUCCCUCAAGCAAGCUCCUCUUCUUCUUCUCCUCCUUCUUCUUAUUCUCUCUCUCUCUCUAGAAGGUGAAGGGUGAGGGUGAGAAAUGAGGAGGGAAGAGAGGGAAAUGGCUAAUAAGCCCAUCUAGUGUAACAAAAUCUGGAGAGGCCCCUCAAAAACUCAAAAUUGCAACAGCCCGGUCUGGGCAGUUUUCGUCCAGAGGGACCGGUCUCUCCCCAGCAGGGACCGGUCUCUCAUUGCGAACCCGAAAAACCAACGUUCGGGAACCGGUCUCUCCCUGCGCGGGACCGGUCUCUCACUGCGAAGAUGAGCUCGGGGACCGGUCUCACCUGCCAGGGACCGGUUGCCUCAGGGCUGCCACAACACUGCUCACUGGGGAACCGGUCUCUCCUUCCAGGGACCGGUCCACGAGAGUAAAAACUCUCAGGACUUGUCCAGAAUUCCAGUUUUCGAACUUUUUAGGUCGAAAAGCAUUCUACAACCCUCCACCAAAUGUGGAAAAGCUCGAAAUACAUCCAAGCACUAGAACCUCGCAAUUGGCAGAGGUCCAGUGUGUUACAAUUUUGGACUUGUCGUAUGUCCAGUUGAUGCAUACUUACACUCUGUUCUGUAUUACAGUAGCGGCUAGUUAUAUUCCUCUAUACUGUUGUUUACCCCUGCAUUAUUACUACUGUAGUUAUGAUAUUCAUGUAUGCAUUCGGUUCUUCUUUACAGUAGUGGUAGUUAUAUAUUUUGUUAUUGUUCUACUUCCUUUUAGUUUAUUGCUACUGUAUUUGGUAUAUCUGCUCAUGACCUUGUUUAUCUCUUCCUAUACCAGUGAAUACUCCUCGCCUUCGUCGGCUUGCGGUACCCACUGGAAGGGGGAGACAUGUUUAUAUGUUCUCACCCCCCACCAUUUUUCAGGUAUUGCGGGCUGUGAGGGUUGAGACGAGACGUGAGACACGUUCGUAGCGGUCGAUAGAGUUUCCGGCCCGGUGACAUUCGGUCUAGUUUCUAUCCUUGCUUAUUCAAAAUAACUAACUUAAACUUUAUGGUUCAGUUGGCUUUCAUUUACUUGAAUAAAUAUGACUUUGGUGAAUAAAUUAAAAAACUUAGGGUUUUUUUUUAGACGAAAACGGUUUUCUACCCCUCAUGAUAGUGAGUUUUAAAAGAAAAAAGUUUUCGUGUGGGAAACAAUUUUUAAAAGGUUUUCUCUUGGUUUUCAUGACUUAGUAUUUCAAAACGAGUUUCCGGAUGGGAAAUAUUUUAAACUAAUAGUUGUGAAUUUAUGUAUAAACUCUGAAUGUGAAUGGUGUAUGAAUGUAUGUAUAUUCAUAAGUGGGAGUUUCCGGGUGGAAAAUAUUUUAAACUAAUAGUUGUGAAUUUAUGGAUAAACUCUAAAUGUGAAUGGUGUAUGAAUGUAUGUAUAUUCAUAAGUGGUGGUUGUAUCUUGUUUGAUGUAUCUUGUACUUGUGUGACGCUAUACAAAUACAUAGGAGACUAUGUCCGUGUGAACAGUGAACUCCCUGUAUUUGUGGCGAAUCUAGCAUACCCUUCGGGUCAAGUUUUUCAAAAAAAAUAUAUAAUAAUAAUUUUGGGCACUUCCGCAUUGAAUCUUAAAUCCAAAGGGACCCCGGGGCGUGACAAAAGUAGUUGGUGCUUCCAAUUUUUUAGCUCUUAGAUCAACCCCAUUGAUUAUUUCUAACUAUUGGAUUAAUAUUAUUAACCAAUGGGGACCACUCAACCCUAGGGGGACCACUCAACCCUAAGCGGACUGCUAUCAUCCCAACCGUAGAAUUUUUGAACUGAGGGCUAAACAAUCGGAAGUAUUAACUACUUUAUGCUUCCGAUAGCAAUAUAGCAUAGUAGCUCUACAAUAUAUAUAUAUAUAGAGAGAGAGAGAGAGAGAGAGAGAGAGAGAGAGAGAGAGUCCAGCUGCUAUGCUAUCGAUAGCACCAAACACUUAGUGCUAUCAAGUUUUCUGCUGUUAGAUUAACCCCUUUAAUUAUUUUUACCCGUUAGAUUAUACUAUUCAACCAACCACCAACUCAACCCUAGUGUCUCGCUCCGGAUUACACGUUUUCCUGGGCACGCCGACAGAUCCGCCGUAUACAAAGGAGUUUUUCCUAUAUACGAAGCGACAGUUGUACCUGUAACAAGUUCAAGCUACAACUAGUAGUAUAGAGCUACUAAACUGAACUGAAUAUAAGUAAACAUCAGGUUCACUAUACAUACAAAGUCUCCUAAAUACAACAACCCUCCCUCCAGCGAGUAACUAGCAUAAGUAUGUACAUGAACCAAAAAUCAAAACUAUCUAUAGCUGGUACUCCUCUAGUACUACAACCAGGGAAGGAAUCUAGCUCGCGACUCCCUUUCCUAAAUCAGAAUCGGCGACAACAGUAGCCGCAGAAGAAGGCUAUGCAAAAUAACAACCGGGUGUGAGAACUACUACAAAAAGUAGUCCUCAGUGGGUACCACUACCAACCUCAACAGCUUACCCACUAAGUUUAUAGAAAGUAUGCAGAAAGAUAGUAAAGGAAGCUGAUACAACUCUACAGCUAUAUGCCACUAUACUAUCGCUAACCAACACUAGUUAUCUGUAGAUGUAAGCAAAAUGCAAUCUUUUACCCAAUCUCACUGGGGACUGUGAACACACCCGUCCUGCCUAUCGAAAUUAAACCAACCACCACCACGCUGGGUAGUUGGUGGAGAGCAAGUCCAACCAGGACACUACGACAUCAACACAAAAGCACUAAGCCUGACUCCGGAGUGGCACUCGUGGGCGCUAUCUAACCGAGUAUGCAAGCGUGUCUCUGCCGAGCUCAAUCAGGUUCUCAUAGACUAUAAUCAAAGUAAAUGGGUCUAACUGAUCUAACAACCAAAGCUCACGUGCCCUUGGCACAAUCUAAUGCAAAGUACAGAAAUCUGGGUCCACUGUCAACCGCGACGGCACCCGACAGUCCGAAACAGUCUACACACUACUAUAAAAUAAGCUCGGCAUCCCAGCACGAGCGUAAACUCAUCCUACACUAAUUUAGGUAUCCACAGCAUACAAACUGCGACGAUACAAACAAACCACAGCUCCCAAAGCUAAAUCUGGCAGUUUUCAGAAAAUGACAGUGUAGGGUUUAAUAGCUUUCUCCUAAGUCAAUUACAAGUCCAACAUGUAUAAUCAUCUAAAUCACUAAUUAUGCUCCAAAUUCAAAUUUCAAAGAACAUGCAAAUCAACGAAUUUGAGCUAUUAAACAUGAUAUACGAAGCCAAAAAUACAUGCUGUCAACUCCGGCUUAAAAGGAAAACCGACGAUUUCGGUAAACUUCAAUUCACCUCGAAAAGCUCGUCCAAUUACGGCGAGAAGUUGAAAAGACAGUAAAUCACGCGCUCGCUCAGCCUCUCACGACGCAACCGCGACGGACGCACACUCGAAUGGCCCUCCGGAUCGAGUCGACAACCUCCCGAGCUCAAGCCGUGACCUCAAUCACGUACGAGUCUACCAGUUAGAGAGAGAGGGGAAAAUGAGAGGAAGAAUAUGCCACAACCCUCUCUUUGUGAAUAUAACAAGGCUGGGAAACAUGGGGUUGAACGACACAUUGAUGGACCAAAAUGCUCCUUACCAACUUCAAAAUCUAGCUAGAGUACCGGUACCAGAUUUGGUUACCGAUACUCGGCCUCUCAACCCGCACACUCGCACACCGGGUACCGGUACCAGCCCGAUACUGUAUCGGUACUCAGCACCAAAUUGGCGCAACCCGAGAGCAGUCUGUCUGAAAAUACACCGGGGUAUCAGUACUCCCCUGCAUAGUACCGGUACUCAAUACUGAAAACCUGCACUUUGCAAAUUUCAAUGUCAAAACUCUACUCUCGCGUCGCACUGAGUCCGUUUUGCUUCUAUUUCGCGCCAAAACGACUCCGACUUGUCCCGAUACUCUCCAGAUAUGUCGCCAAGCCUCAGAUGCUGAGAUCCACGAACAACCCAAAACCAGAGAUACUACACCUAGGGGCCGACAUCAUCAUAACCGCACAUUUCUAAUCCAAGGACUAAAAAACUAAUAGCACCAAUAACUUGAUGCUAUUAAUAGUAUCCCAGCCUAGUUAUAUAUAUAUAUAUAUAUAUAUAUAUAUAUAUAUAUAUAAAACUUAAAAAGCAUAAAUGAUGAUACAUGCCUUUAUUUUUUGCUAGGACCAAGAAAGUUAUUCCCGCCAUUCCAACAAGUGAGAUUUUUCUUUUUACCAGAAUAUUUUAUGUGAAUUGAGUCUUGCUAUACUGCCAAACUAUUCCAUGCUUUUGAAAGGGUGGAAUAGUGCUAUUUCAAACUUUAAUUCCAUACUUUAUUAAAAUUAUAGAUUAAAUUAAAGUAAAUUAUGAGAUAUGAUAUAAUACAUAUUAUAAUAAAUUAUUUUUAUUAAUUGUACUAAAUUCCUUUUAUUAAAUAAUAUAAUAAAUUAUUUUUAAUUAUAUUUUAUAUUAAAUUCAACUAUUACCUUUUUCCACUACUCUCUACAAAUGCAUAAAAUUAACCAAACAUAAUAUUAAUUAUUAUUUCUAAAAAUAGCAGCAUAAUAAACCAAACAUAAUUUUAUUUUUAUUUCUAAUUAUUUCAAAAUAAUAAGGUAUCCUAAGGAUAAAAAAAUUUGUCCUAAUUUUUGUUGUACUUUAAUCGCUACCGAAUAUACAAAGUAUCGCCACCAAAUGUCUAUAAUGGCGACAAAAAUUGUCACCACAUAUUACCACAAUAGAUCCCACCGGCGAAUGAAUCAGUGAUGAGAUAUGAAUUUUGCCACUUUAAAUAUAACUUUUUGUGGCGACAAUAGACGCCAUGAAAGGGUAUCAUUUGGUAGUGACAUUUUAUGCCACCAAUUCUUAGGAUUUGGUGGCAAUUAAUUUUUGCUACCAACGUUCAACUUUAGGAGGCAAAUAUUUGUCACCACUAACGGUGUCAAUUGAUGGCAAAUACUAGUCGCCACUAAAUACAUCAUUUAAUGGUAAAUAUUUGUCGCCACUAAAUGUUUCAUUUGGUGACAAAUAUUUAUCGUCAUGAAAUGUGUCCAUUUGAUGGCAAAAAUAUGUCGCCACUAAACAUAACAUUUGGUGGCAAAAAUUUGUCACCAAUAAAUGUAGCAUUUGGUGCCGACAAAUUAUAUUCACAUUCGAUAGUGUUAUUUUCUAGCACCAAAUGUUCAUACACAAAUAUAUAUUAAUAAGAUAACAAAAAUUAUAAGCAAAAAUACAUUCAAACCAAACUCCAACACGACAAAUCACUUCAAACUAAUGUCAUACAUUAAUUUCUCCAACAAUAUCAACGAAAAUAAGAAAAUAAAAUAAAAAUCUAUCAAAUUGCCAACUCAUAAUAUAAGUUCGUGGAAGAUGAAAAAGCAUUCGAAAUCUCAGUUGAUACGAGCAAAUAGAACACCUCCCUUUAAUCCAUCUCAAAAAUAUCUCACUUAGACUUGGAACAUCUGGGCAUAUCAUAAUCUGCAAGAUAUAGAUAAUUUAGAAUAAUUAUUAAGAAUAAUUUAACUUGCUACAUGUCUCUCAAAAAAAAAAAAAAAAACCUUUAGAAGGAUGCAUCGUAUAUUUUGUCGCGUCGCUUGGUUAAUUGCUUUUGAUGGUAAAAAAUAUUCAAAUAAAUAUAUUGUAAAAUUAAUGGAAUUAAAGGUACAAUUAACAGUGGCAUAUAUAUAUUUUGAUUGUAUAAUACAUAGCAAGUAGAAAACCUGCUUAAUUGGAUAAUAUAAUCAAAGAAAAAAAAAACAAUGCUAUAAAUAUUAGAAUCUUUCAUUUUCGUAUCAUAUGAAUUAAUCAGCUCCUAAUAAAUUAUAUAUGAAAAAGUAGAAGUGGUCCAAAUUAUAAGAGAAAUAAAGUCAUUUUUGGUAUAUUUGUCCUUAUCAUACUUCUUCUUAGCCAUGAUUAUAUUUUGUAAUGUGCAUGAUAUUCAUUGAUUCUCAAUUUGGAAGCGAAUUGAUUAAGUCAUACUCCCGGUUUUACAGAAUCACUACAUGAUAUAGAAAUAAAAGGACAAAAAACAGAGUACAAUUUUAUGGGAAAUCUCAAUUUACAAAGACAUAAAAACCUCCUGUCCGUAAUUAAAAUUUUCCCCCUUGCCUAAGUUUUAUGCUUUUUAUACUCGAGUUUGGUAAGCUAUGCACAAAACCUUCUCCACAGAAACUGCAAAAUAUUACUGUUAUUAUUAUUAUUAUUAUUAAAAAAAGAAAUGAGAAAAGUGAACAUAAUGCCCAUAUUACAAAAAGUACAUGCUCUAGUUUUACUGAGUUAGUUUGGCUUACCAGCCUCUCAUCCAAGCUAUGUAAAAUCAGAUCAACUUAAAUUAUAACCAGCAAGGAAAGCCUAAUCAGCAGCCCAAGAGCUAUGGACUGCUACGGCACCACGUAGAGGAAAAACCUAACAACAUGCAUAAGAAAAUUUUUUUGGUUAGUUGCUCGGCAAGGUAAUGAUAAGAGGAAGCAAAUCAAGAAGCUAUAUAACAUUAAAGGUACAAUAUCUCACUGUUCUUAUCUUAUGCAUAUUGAUCCAUUUGCUUAGAUCGAGCUUUUACCGUCUCUCCUUUAUGUACAAUUCAUUUUAAAUCACUAGUUCCCGCAAGUCCAUAUUCAUUGAUCAGUAGAGUGUGGAUUCAAUUGUUACGGGGAGGUUUUUGAUGAUAUAUAUAUAUAUAUAGUGUAUAUACAUGGAGAUAAUCAAAUUGUAGAGAUAAAAGAUAACAUAUAAAGGCAUGCACCUAUUCCAACUGAUCUCUCUUAAAGCUAUAACUACACAUGCUUUAAUUUGGUGAUUUAUUGGAUAGCUCAUUUACAACUGAUCCUGCAAAAAAUUCUAUAAACCUGGGUUAAUUUAUCCUGAACAGUAACAUCGUCAGUGGAAUUCCACAUAUGUCCAACCAAAAAAAAGAAACAAAAAAGAAGGAUAAUGACAUAGAAUUCGAACUUCUAAAUUAGACGCGUAAUUUAAUCUCAAAUGGACCACAAAUAAGAAAGCUGUUGUAGCAAACAGCAUAUAAGAAGAGCUUAACAUACAGUAGAUUAUAAUAUAAUUACUGUUCAACUGAGAGGAAUCAUGAGGAGCAGAAUAUAGUUUUAGACUUUGUGAAUCAAAUUCAUCGAAGCACCAAUGUUUAUGUAGUUUUCUCAUUUUGAAUCCUGUGGAAUUAGUUAUCAUCAUCAGUUGUAGAAGGAAUUAGUGGUUUAGAAACUGCGAAAUAAAUUAUAUGUUUCCAAAUAAAUACUUCUCUAUCAUGUAUGGCCAAUUUUGUCACUAAUGCUACCCGGAACGACAGAGGAGCGAACAAUAUGCAUUUCUUUUAUCUAUAUAUAUAUAUAUAUAUAUUGUAAUACAAGCUAAUGAUUCUCGAGUUUUCCUUCAACAGGUGUUCACAGAAAUAACUGUUAGUUAGUUGAUCAUUCCCUUGCCGAUCAACUAACCAAAAAUUAUAAUCAACUAAACCAAAAGAAUUAUAACUAACCACAAUGAAAUUGGAGUGAUGAUGAUAACUAAACAUUUAAGGUUUUCACCUCAAAUUCUAGUUCUAGAUUAAUCAAAUCCUAAACAAAGAGCUUGGAACUAGAUUAAUCAAAUCCCAAACAUAGAGCUCACUAUCAUCCGCAAGAGCAAAGCAAUUAACGGGUAUUAUUCAUGACCCUCAAAGAAAUAUAAAUCAAACACAUGGCGAGCAAAAUAUAACGAGGAGAUCGGCAACGAGGAGAUAAAGAGGAGAACCUUUCACUUGUGUGGGGAUCGGCAUGCAGCGAGGAGAUUGGCGGCGAAGGGGUCGCCGGCGAGGAGAUCGGCGGUAAAAGCUCGCCACUGUAUGUGAUCAUAUAGUGGCAACAAAAUAGACAUUUAAUGGCAAAAAAAAAAAAAUUGACACUUAAGCUAAUUAAUCGAUGACAUUUUUUUUAUCAUCAUCAUAUUUAACCUUAUAGUAACGACCAAUUAGUCAUUUAGUUGCAACAAUAAUAUUGCUACUUUAAGUUAAUUAAUCAACGGCGAUUUUUUUUAUCACCACCGUAGACUAUAUAGUGACGACAAAAUAGUUAUUUAGUGGCGAAAUUAGUAUUGCCACUUUAAGCUAAUUAAUUGGUGAUAAUUUUUUUUAUCGCCACCGUAGAUAACUAUAUAGUGGCAACAAAAUAGUUAUUUAGUGGCGAAAUUAGUAUUGUCAUUUUAAGCUAAUUAAUUGGUGAUAAUUUUUUUUAUCACCAGCGUAAAUAACUAUAUAGUGGCAACAAAAGUGUUAUUUGGUGGUGAAAGUAAUAUCGUUAUUUUAAAUUAAUCAAUCGGUGGCCAUUUUUUUUGUCGCCACCAUACAUAACUAUAUAGUGGCGACAAAUUUUAUCGCUACCUUAUUUUUGCCACAAAUACGAUCUUUUCUUAUAGUGACUACAAGGAAUUGAACAAAGUGACAAUCAAGAACAAGUAUUCUUUAUCGUGCAUCGGUGAUUUAUUCGAUCAGUUACAAAGAUCUUGUUCCUUCUCAAAGAUUGAUCUGCAAUCGAGUUAUCACUUGUUGAAGGUAAAGGCCAAGGACAUCUCCAAGAUGACUUUUAAGACAGUAUGGGUAUUAUGAGUUCAUAAUAAUGCCUUUUGAAUUGACUAAUGCCCCUGCUACAUUCAUGGAUUUGAUGAAUAGCAUGUUUAAAUUGUACUUGGAUAAGUUCAUGGUGGUGUUCAUCGACGACAUCUUGAUUUACUCCCGGAAUGAUGCCGAGCAUGAAGAACACUUAAGGAUAGUGCUAAAGCUUUUGCUAGAGACGAAAUUGUAUGCCAAGUUGAAAAAAUGCAAGUUUUGGCUUCAAGAGGAUGCUUUCUUAAGCUAUGUGAUUUCUCCCGCUGGAGUGAUAGUUGACCUGAAGAAGGUUGAUGCAAAUCGAGAUUUGUCUAGAUCGACGACGAUCACUGAGGUGAAGAGCUUCUUGGGAUUAGCUGGAUACUACCGUCGGUUCAUAGAAGGCUUUGUGAAGCUUUCCACACCUCUCACUUGAUUGACUCAAAAGAAAAUUAAAUUUAUCUGAAAUGAGGAGUGCUAGAGAAACUUUGAGGAUUUGAAGCUAACGUUGAUGUUAGCUUCUAUCCUUUCUGUAAGGGCUGGGAUUUUGACAGUAUAGUUAAACUCUCUGUUGACGAUAUUUUUAUGUGUAUUUUAAUUACAAAAGCACUCGUUAAGUUCCAGGAGACUCAAAUAGUAAGAUUGAUACUUCUACUGCAUCGAAAAGCUAAGGGCCUGUUUGGCUUAGCUUUUGAAAAAAUAAUUUCUGCAGAAGUGAUUUUGAUUUGGAGAAUUGAUUUUGAUAAGCUGCAUAGCGUUUGGCUGAGUUUAAAUAAAAGUGAUUUUUCUGAAGUAAUUUUCUAAAACUGUUUGACAAAAAAAUUUUAAUACUUGCAUAUAUUAAUAUUUUACUAAAUUUUAUUUUAAAAUAAUUUAAAAUUUGAAUGUAAAUUAAAAUUUUGAAUUUUAAAUUUUAAAUUUUAAAUUUUAAAUUUUAAAAAUUAAAAUUUAAAAAUUCAAAUAUGAAUUUAAAAUUUCAAAAUUUAAAUUUAAUGUUAAAUUUAUACUUUAAAUCUAAAAUAAAAAUAAAAAAUUUGAGUCCAAAAUCAUAAUCAGUUUUGGAAAAGCAAUUUUUUUCUGAUUCUGAUUCUAGAGCCUUCAAAGGCUUAAUUAGUUUGAUAUUGAGGCCUAUCUAACGCUAUUAGAUAAAUAAAGUUUGGGUAAAAGCAUAUAAAAAUAUGCUUCUUCGUUCUCCGAUGGGACCGCAGAAAAUAUACUGUAACCGACUAAUCGCGAUAUACAAAAUGCAAUAUUAUGUACGAAAAUAAACUCGUACUUUCUCAACGCACGUAACGCAAUCUCCCCAUAAUCCCAAACGAAGCCAAAAUCAGUUUUCUGAUUCUAAAAAGCAGAAUCAAAUUUUCUAUCUGUCGUUCCCAAACGGUCUACUGAGUUGAAAAGUAAUUUUAAGCUCAAAAUCACUUCUAAGAAGUUAGACCAAACACCCCCUAAAUUAGCUUCUAAAAUAGAAGUUGCUGCUACAACCAAGAACAUAAUUGCCGAAUACUGCAACUAAAAUAAACAUGUGGAUUUCUUUUCACCUAUGCCAUAAAUUCUCAUAAACAACACCUUCAUUCAUGCAUCUACGAAGGACAAAUCAAAUAUGCUUCUUGAAAAUUACAAGCGCAUGAUAAAUUAAACAGCAACCAGAGAAAACAAGAAACCCAUAGCCUAGGGCAUGACAAUCGAAAUUAGUUGACAAACAAAAAAAGAAACAGUUUUCGAUAGCUGAGCUAGGACUGUUAAGUGAUGCAUGUAAAUUUGAGCUUAGAAACACAAAUAGUGAGACAAAUAUAAUUCAGCUCCUCAGGAUAGAAUAAAAACUAGUAACGAGAAAUGUUUCUCGAUAACCAUUUGUUUAACUUGCAACCAGCUGACCGCCUGAAUUCUGCAGAAGUAACGUAGGAAUAAAAAUAACUAACGGAUCAAUUGGCGUGCUAUCAUCUUUCUGACAUAAACACAAACAAACACAAGAAAACAUAAACCAUGGCAAAUACUGGGAUCUUUCAUCAAGAUAAAGAAUCAUCUAAUUUUUGAAAAGAGCCACUACCUUUUAGCUCAAGCACAGCAUAGUCUAAAUCUAUGGAUGAGAAAAGAGAAGGCAUUGGUCACUGGGAAUUAGGGAUCCUGCUUGUAUAAAGACGUAUAUUACCUGGUAGAAAUCAUAUGCCAACACUACGGUGAUAUUUCCUUCCGAGAUAAGAGUAACAGGAGCAGUGCUACUAGUUGUAGACCAUGUAUUUGGGCGUUCCGCUGAACUUCUGACAACCCUUAAUAACCUUAUUCACUGCAUCAAGAAAGUCCUUUUCUGUUACCGUCUUCCUGUGUGCCCGGAUCGCAUACAUCCCGGCUUCGGUGCACACACUCCUUAUGUCCACCCCUAAUAUAAAGAAAUACAGGAAAUAGUUAGGAACUUAUAAAGAACAAAUAGAGCAAUUUUGAUGUUUGUCCAAGUAAAAUAGACCGUAGAAAAACAUAUGACACCAAGCAUCUAAGUUCCAAGCAUUCGGACUGGCUUUUACUUUUUUUUACUUUUAAAGAAAAGGAGAAAAAAAGUGUAUCGGAGCAUAGUAACUNUAUGCUUACGUGCUUUUCAAUGGAACUACAAAAAUCAUUUCUUCAAAACUGAAUUAGCCUAGAUGUUAUGUAAGCUGAACUAUAUAUCCUUAACUAACAGGAAAGAUGCAUGAACCAAGCUCAGAACCUCUUAAACCAGAAGGGAAUGAAUAAUGACUCAGAAUACUGUAUUAUCCACCAAAUUAAUAUAUAUAUAUAUUAAUUGUAUUAAAAAAUAUUCUAGAACUAACCUGGACAAGGUUGAAGCUACAAUUUCUUUGUGUAUGAAGAAGGAUUAGUCAUCUUCCCGCUUAAUUCAUACUUGCCAUGUGUGAUUUCCUACUUGGGUCUCUACAAGCAAGCAGAAAAGCUUUAAAGCUUGAGAAACAAGUUAGCAGACUAAAGCCGAAGACUUGGAUAUGAUUAACAAUAGACUUGUACUACUCUCACAACUAAGGCGACAUCUAUAACACGGUUUCUUUCUAAAAGCCUCGAGUAGAAAAGGAACUUAAUAUGAGGAAACACUGGUGGACUCAAAUAGUAAGUCUGAUACUUCUGCUGCAUCGAAAAGCUAAUAAAUAAAUUAGCUUCUAAAAUAGAAGUUGCUACUACAACAAGAACAUAAUUGCCGAAUACUGCAACUAAAAUAAAAAUGUGGAUUUCUUUUCACCUAUGCCAUAAAUUCUCAUAAACAACACCUUCAUUCACGCAUCUACGAUGGACAAAUCAAAUAUGCUUCGUGAAAAUUACAAGCGCAUGCUAAAUUAAACAGCAAGCAGAGAAAACAAAAACCCGUAGCCUAGGGCAUGACAAUCAAAAUUAGUUGACAAACAAAAAAGGAAACAGUUUUCAAUAGCUGAGCUAGGACUGUUAAGUGAUGCAUGUAAAUUUGAGCUUAGAAACACAAAUAGUGAGACAAAUAUAAUUCAGUUCCUCAGGAUAGAAUUUAAACUAGUAACAAGAAAUGUUUCUCGAUAACCAUUUGUUUAACUUGCAACCAGCUGACUGCCUGAAUUCUGCAGAAGGAACGUAGAAAUAAAAAUAACUAACAGAUCAAUUGGCGUGCUGUCAUCUUUCUGACAUAAACACAAACAAACACACAAGAAAACAUAAACCAUGGCAAAUACUGGGAUCUUUCAUCAAGAUAAAGAAUCAUCUAAUUUCUGAAAAGAGCCACUACCUUUUGCUCAAAGCACACCAUAGUCUAAAUCUAUGGAUGAGAAAAGAGAAGGCAUUGAUUGGUCGCUGGGAAUUAGGGAUCCUGCUUGCAUAAAGAUGUAUAUUACCAGGUAGAAAAUCAUAUGCCAACACUACGGUGAUAUUUCCUUCCGAGAUAAGAGUAACAGGAGCAGUGCUGCUAGUUGUAGACCAUGUAUUUGGGCGUUGCGCUGAACUUCUGAUAACCCUUAAUAACCUUAUUCACUGCAUCAAGAAAGUCCUUUUCUGUUACCGUCUUCCUGCGUGCCCGGAUCGCAUACAUCCCAGCUUCGGUGCACACACUCCUUAUGUCCGCCCCUAAUAUAAAGAAAUCCAGGAAAUAGUUAGAAACUUAUGCAGAACAAAUAGAGCAAUUUUGAUGUUCGUCCAAGUAAAAUAGACCGUAGAAAAACAUAUGACACCAAGCAUCUAAGUUCCAAGCAUUCAGACUGGCUUUUACUUUUUUUUACUUUUAAAGAAAAGGAGAAAAAAAAAGUGUAUUGGAGCAUAGUAACUUGUAAAAUAAAAAAGUACAGAGCUACAUCAAUUAUAGAACAUUUUAAAAUAGGUGCCUGAACUUCUAAAAUUUUGACAUAAACUAUCAAAGAACUUUUCGACUUCAGAAAAUUCUACCUCAUUUUGUCAAAACUUAAAAAGGAUUUGUCAAAUUGGUUAUAGAAUAUUUUAUCAAGUAAGAAAUUAACCCAUUAGAUUAUAAAAUACCCCUGUCAAAGAAGUUGCAAAUAUCACCAAGUUUUGAACAAGAGGUACAAAAGAACUAUAAGUUUAGAUAGUAAAUUAACAACUUUAAGUUCAGGUAGGAAAGAUCUGUUCAAUUUUGCUUAAUUGUUAGAUAGAGUAUUAUCAAGACAAACCACUUAUACUACUGAAAUGAGGUAAAGAAACACUUCAGUAAAUGCUCACCAGUGGAGUUUGGGCAGAGGCGAGCAAGAAGCUCAAAUCUGAUGUCCCUCUCGCAAUUCAUUGUUUUUGUGUGGAUCUUGAAUAUCUGUGUGUGACCUUCCAAGUCUGGCAGACCAAACUCAACCUUACGAUCCAAUCUUCCCGGACAGAGUAAAGCCGGGUCCAAAGUAUCAGGCCUGAAAAGUUUGGAACGAGAGGGAGAUGAAUUCAUAUGUUCUAAGGGCAUGGUUAAGAGUUGACUUGAAGUACAGCUAUAAACUAGAAAACAUCAAGCUGUCGAACCUAUUGGUUGCCAUUAGAACUUUGAUAUUUCCUCUAGCAUCAAAACCAUCAAGCUGAUUGACGAUUUCAAGCAUAGUACGUUGAACUUCAUUGUCCCCACCAAUGCCAUCAUCAAAACGAGCACCACCAAUAGCAUCAACUUCAUCAAAAAAGACAAUGCAUGCCUUCUUUGAACGGGCCAUCUAAAUGACAAGACUAGUUAGACAGACAAUGAAAAUAACUAUGACGGUAAGGAAAUCCAAGAACAAUAAUCAAAUAAGUUUGCCAUUGAAUCGCCGGAAACCAAACAACCUGGAAAAGUUCGCGGACCAUCCGAGCUCCCUCUCCAACAUACUUUUGAACCAGCUCGCUUCCAAUGACACGAAUAAAGCGGGCAUCAGAUCUGUUGACCACAGCUCUAGCAAGGAGAGUUUUUCCUGUUCCAGGAGGACCAUAACAAAGGACACCUUUCGGAGGAUCAAUUCCAAGCUUCACAAAUUUCUCUGGAUGAAGCGUUGGAAGCUCCACAACCUGAGGAAGAAUAAUAAAAGAAAACGAAAAUGAUGCAGUCAUUGACCAACUUGCAGGUACCCACUAUAUGUAUAAUCAAUUUACACUACUGUAAAACCUGAAUGAGCAAUAACAAUAUGAUAUUUUUAAAUCACAAAAAAAGGCAUACCUCUCGCAUCUUUUCAAUCUGCUCCUUACAGCCACCAACAUCGUUAUAUGUAACAUCAGGCUUCUCCUCCACCGUCAUCAUCGUAACACUUGGAUCAAUUUUUGGUGGCAAAGGAAUCUGGAUUUGAUACUUAUUUUGAUCAACUCUGCAAACGAAAGAUUAUUAGAUCAAACCAUGAUGUCCAACCAACACCAAUUGAGAUUCUCAAUAAAAGUCUCAGUCCUAGUAAAAUUAUUGAUUACAACUUUGGGCAUAACUGCACCAUGCCACAAAUGCUUAUAGAUACAAGUAGUACUGAAGCACUGCAGAUGGUUUGAUGUGAUAUAAUGUAAGGUCAUCUAAACUGAAUAUUGUCAGUUGCACAACAGAACAUACAGUCCAGGUAAGAUUGAUUCCAACAUCCACCUCUGUAUUAAUUAUGUAUGUCACAGGAGCUUUGACGGCCUACAAGUAUUAUAAUGCUCAUGCAAAUACCAGAUUAAAGGACUCAAAAGACAGUACCAAGGAGAUAGAUGUAUAAUUCCUUGUAGAUAGUAUGUUGUCACAACCAGCAACUAGGUGCCAAGGCCAUCCAUCACUGUGAUUAUGUAACUCAAGUCUGUUUUGCCAAUUAGUUGCUUUAGAAAUAAUCUUGCACUAAUAAAUUAUUGUGCUCUAUUUUUUUAACUCUUAUAUGAGACACUAGCUUUAGGGUGGGUGGGGGAAAGGCAGAGGGGGUGGGAAGGACUAUUAUUGCUAUUAUAAUGAAAACAUCAAUAACGGCACACUAGACAGUUAGAAACACUAAUACACCUCAAAUGAGGCAGUCACUGAAAAGAAAUUGAGACAACUAAUCAAGUGAAUGGUAUUGUGGCCUUACCCAACUCGCAUGCCUUCAUCAAUAUCAGUUGGAGAGACUUUGUCACCCAACCCGACCACAAACUGCAUAAGUCCAAUAGAAGAAAGAGAAAAUUUAAGUUGGAACUUGGGAUGUCCAUGUUGUUGUCCAUUUGUCCUGAGAAGUAAAUAUAGUAGAAAGAGCAUUACAUGCUCAAAAAGUAUACCUUGGCAAAUUGCUUAACAUUUAUCACAUAAUUAGCAUCUUCUGUGUUCGGGCUAAUAAUCUUCGUACACCUAGCAACCUUUCGAUGAAACAACAAUCUAGUCAGACACCAAACAUAUGUAAGAUGUAAAACAAGUUCACUAAUAAACUCCCAGAUAUCACAGAAUAAAACAAGCACGAAUACCCAAAAUUCAUGCAAAUUUGAGACAAAAAUACCUGCAGAGGUUGUUCCUCUUGCAUCAUUUGCUUGUCAGAAACUAAAUCUCACUGGCUAGGUGCAGCUAAACCAGUGUCUGACUCUUUGAUUCCUGGCAUUUCAUAACAAAAAAUGUCUCAAAGGUUCCAAGAAUAUAAUAGCAACAUAUUUGAUAACAAAAACUACCUAUCACUACAUUAUGCUAGUUUAAAUAACCUGUGGAAUCAACUUAUUCCAAAUAGGCUUUCAGAAAUCUAAAGAAAACAAAGAAAGCAUUUUAUAUCUAAAUUAGGUCUUCAUGAGUAACGACAACCGAAUCCAGUCACAAAAGACGCCACCUUGAAAAGCACAUCUCUAUUUCAAGCAUCUUACUAUGUAUCCAUUCGUAAUGUCCAUUCUAUGCCUGAUUUUGCUACAUAAUAGAACUGGACUAUAAUAACAUAAACUCAAUUCUUUAUGGAACUAUAAAUUAAAACAUCAAUAAUAUGCAUCAACUGCUUAAGUACACAAAACUUGAGUCAAAAGAAUGAUUCUUUACUUAUCACUUGAGAAAGCAGAGUCGCAUUAUUUCAUUACAAGAAAAAAAUAAGCAAAACAAGUUCCAGUUUACAUAUUUAUACAUCCAUUUCUUCGUAUGUACAUAUAUUUAGGCAUAUGAUGAUAUUAACACACUACUUACCACAUAGAUCAUUGAUCUUCUUCACCAUCUCCUUAAUCUCCUUCUCUGCCUUCUUUAUGCUCUCAGAAUAAGGUCCCAGACCCUGCCAUAUCACACAGUUCUCAUUUUAUCAUCAUAAAUGCACUUAAACAGAAUAAGAGGAACAUCAAAUAGCUUCCACACAAACCCUUAUUAUUCAAUUGAUCCAAACAACAAAGGUAUUAAUAAAUCACCACACUAGAUCGCGUUCACCAACAAUAAACCUAGAUCUAGCGGAAUCUGAUGCACAAACAAAGUAACCUAACCUAGCCCUAAAUCGAGGCGAACCAAAGGAGCGAAGAGAUUAGGGGAUGCGUACGUAGGUUUUGAGGAGGGCGAUGUCGUCUUCAUCGAGGGGGCGCGGGUUCUUCUCGUUCAACUCGUCUUCGGGCUCCGGAGCCAUGGCGAGGUCGAGGGGAGGUAGCGAAAAUGGCGAUCCCUCUAUAGGCUCGAGUGGUUUAAACAAUUUAACGAAAUAUUAACGAAGAAGCUGACGAAAAAAUAAAAAUGAAACCACAUGACACUAGCUUGAUACACUUUAAACUACAUAGUAUUAAAGUGAGAAAGUGCGAAACCACAGGGAUGGUUUUUGAAGUUUACCCAAAAAAAAAAGAAAACAACAACAACAACAACAACUCAGGUUCAUUUACAUCAAUUCCGAAAACAAAAAUGGAAUAGCAAUAUUUCAAUCAAAACCAUCAGAAGUACAGCACACACAAUCUGCAAAUUCUGAAACAAACUUUAAAUGCUUCAAAGGCAGUGAAAAACAACAAUUUUGCAUUUAAGAUAUAUUAGCAAUAAAUUAGAAGAAAUAAGAUUACAUGAAUAUCAAGGUCUUGCCUGUCCUCAAAAAUAUCAAAAACUUUCUCACUAAAACUGGAAUAGGUUCUGCAAAAUGUCUAUUAAUAUGUUCCUCCUUACAAAAUACAACAGACACUAUUCCUACCGGUUAUACAAAUAAGACGGAAACACAUGAAAUUACAUCAGAGAUGCCGCCGCCUCGGGAUAAGUUUCAAGUUUCUUAACAUUAAAGCAUUAGAUAUAUAUAGCAAAAGUAGUUUGUAAAAAAUGUUGCAGAACAAAUUUGAAGCGCGAGUUCAAAAUUUUUUGUCAGUUGAUUCAAUUGAACGUAAUUGUCGACUUCUUUAGGGUUACUAGGUAACCAGAAGUUAUUGAUUGUUAUGCCAAGUGACGACAUCCUCGUAUGGUAGAUUGCCCCCAAAUAUAUUGAGAGAACUUCCAACUGUAAUAUCAACGCGGCCCUUGCCAGCGGAUUUUAUCCUCUCCAGAUCUUCCAUUGUUGAGACUCCACCAGCAUAAGUUACCGGAAUCUACAAUGUGAAAAUGUUGAACUAUAAGUAUGAGGAGUUUUUUAUCAACAUCCGCUGAUCAUAUUGAGCACAAACAAAGCUAAAAUCUUUCAUGCUCAAAACAAAUUAAUAUAUACUAUAAAAUAGGAGUACUAAUUUUAUAAAGAGACAAUGUAAAGUUGCGCUCAUCAGUAAUGCAAUGUUGCAUUUGAGGUUGGGCCAAAAGACACUACACCUGUAAGGUACUAGAUUUUAGAAACACAAAAGCUAAUAUUAAAAAUGAAAGUAUACAAUAAUUAGUGUCUUUAAUAAAGACCUGUAGUGACAAAUUAGCAAAACCAGAGCUCUUUCUUGGGUGAUCAGGGGAACUAAGUCAUAAACAUAUGGAGAAAACUGAAUAACAGAAAGUAAGGUAUUACAUACAGGUGAGUAGCAUCCAAGCAAUGUCACAAGCUCCUCAUCAAUUCCUAGCCUGCCAUAGCACCAAGAACAUUAAUUAGAAACGGAGAAAAUAUAGUUAACGACUAAGUUCUUGUUGGGGCCUAAAUUUGACCGAGUCCAUCAGAAUACUAAAAUGCUAACCAUUCACAAUGUGAUAGAGGUGAAAGAAGAAACCAGCGAUAUAUUACGAAAAACCAAAUGGUAUGCCAAAGGUAGAGCAAUAAGAAGCUCCGAGUUGCUUUAAAAAGAAUCGAGUAGAAAUACUGUAGAGUAAGUCACCUUUUCCCCUCCACAUCAACUCCAUGAACCAAAAAUUCAUCUGCAUAGGUUGCAAGAAAUACCAAUGUCUGCUCUUCUAGAAUGAUAUCACCGAAUUUCUGCCAUCUGUCAGUAACAAUGGCGUAUUUACCAUUCUACACCAAAAUCAUAAAUUCUACAAUCAAAUAAUAAUACCAUUGAAAAGAAACAUAAUCUGCUAUCAACUCGGUAUGCACAAAAAAGAAGUCUAAUUGUAGAUGUCAACGGCAUGUAGCUAGAGGAUGAAACAAGUGAAUAAGUAAAACCAACAAAAUCAAGGAAAUUUCCCGUACCUUCUUUCUACAACUAAGAUCCAAGACAAGCCUUUGCUUUCCAAUUAUACCAACAAGAUGUUUAAGCCGUUCAAGGUUCAUUUGUCCAUUACUAAAAAUGUACUGCAAGACAAAUAUUUAAAUAGUUACUAUGAACUCAAUAUAAAAGGUCAGCUUUGAAUUGACAUAUGAACUUACUAUAUAUUAGUGGCGGGUAAAGCAUUAAAUAUGUGUAGAAAACCUGUGUUCCCCGAGUAAUGUGUUUUACACUUUGAAAUGGAGGGACUCGUGAGAUUAACAUUAAUACAUUGGCUUUCAUUAGAACCUUGGAAUUUUAAGUUCUUCUAAACUUGCAACUACAUAUUGGAAAAAAUUUCAAUUACAAAACUACUUGUUAUGUGAAAGUUAUUGAGUACAGGAGAGAAGUGUACAAAACAAUGACUAUGAUCAUUACAAAGAUUGAUAUGAGCAAAUACAAACCAGAAGUAUUUUGUGUACAAUAAAAAAAUAAGGUCAUAAGAUAAUUAUGCUGCUGCUCAAUCAAGCAAACAAUGUUUGUGAAAUAAAUAAAUAAAUCACAUACUGAUGUAACAAUCACGUGACUUGCACCUUCGUUGAUAUAAGUCAUCGCAUUGUCCGAAUUGAUCCCACCUCCAAGUUGCAUGCCACCUAAAGUAAGGACAAUUUACGUUCAUAUGGGCAUGGAAUUAAGCAGACAAAGCUUCCACUCCAAGCAAAAAAGUGCUAGAGAAAGUACAUCAAAAUCUAUUAAGAGCAUCAUUGUAACAUUAUUUUACCACGGAUAUACAAAAAUCAUAGGCUAUGAUGGAGCAGCAUAAUGGAAAAGGUUACCAUCAUUGUAGGGUCUAGGAGGAGCAGCCUAUAGUUGUCUCUAGGGAGGUCAUUUGCAUCAUUCUAAUCCACAAAGCCGAGGAAACUAAUAAAAUAGAAUAAAAAUAUCCUACUCCUAUUACAAAAAGCUUCUUAAUGCUGGAAAUAGUAGCUUGUUCGACUAAACGAAUUAGGUCUUCGUGUCAUUCGCACAGUAACAAUCCACUGAGGUUCCAAUUGCUGCACAUAGUCAGAAUUCUGACAAACUACAAUCCAUUACAUCUUUAAUCCGGAUUGAGAGAACGGAAGAUUUUUCUACUUUACACCUACCCGAGCGAGGACUUUUUUUACUUUCAGAAGUUCAAGCAAGAAGAACCCAAAGUUUGCUCACAGGAUGCAAAUUAUAAGCCAUUUGAUUGCGCGCAACUACAAUUAACUAAUAAUAAGAACUAUGCAUUUACAAAAUCAGGCAAACUAGUUUGGUCAAAUCUCGAUAUUGUGAAUUUAGCAGCUUACUAUCUUCCACAGUUUUUAAAUUCAACUAUUCAUUAAUGCGGUGUUCAAUUGCUAUGAAUCUUACAGUUAAUUGACCAUUAAGCAACAUAAAAAAAAUCAAUGGUACAGUAUAGUGGAUGCUUCGGAGCUAAAGCAAGUAACAAUCAUGCAAAAUCAUGGCCGAACAUUUCAAACCCCCACAUUUCAUCAAAAAAAUCCUUCUUUGAAGGAAACAAGUUAAGGAUAUGAAACCCUAAUUCCAACCAAAGAAGAGAUGAUCUCACCAGGAUAAGCAUGCAAUGCCUCCAACGCCGCGGCACGGCUCGCAUCAUCGGCCCCGAGCAUUAUAACAUGGCCCCCCGUGAGCCCAUCCUCCUUGUAUAGAUUCGCGAACUCUGCCGGAGACUUAUCCGAUUCAAAAUUCGUCACAAGAGUCGUUCCAUCCACCACUGUAUCCCUAAGUGUGGAUCCCACGAUCUGCUUCACUUUCCCCUACCAACCCACAGCAAAUUCGAUCAAAAACUAGGGUUUAAGCCAAACCAAGCAAAGGAAACGAGCGCGGGGGCGAUCUCGAAUCUAGGGUUUACCUUGUGGAUGUCGAUGCAGGGCCUGAAUCGAACGGCGCAUGCAACGAAGGAGACACAAUCUACGCCGUUGGAUCGACAAGUUCGGAGAGAGAGGGGUUUACCGUUAGGGUUUCUCCGAUCGGGGAUAGGGUUGAGGGGAGAGGGAGGGAGCCUCGCUCUUGCGCCAAAAAUCAUGCGCAUCGCCAUUGUUGAGGGGCGGAGUUGGAGGGGAGAGAUAGAGGAGAACGAUACUCUCAAAAAAAAAAUAAAAAAUAAAAAAUAAAAAAAUAAAAAUAAAAGUAAAAAAAUUCAAAAUAAUCAGAUCCUAAAUCUAUCUUUUAUCCUUUGGCGUGCAACAUACAUAUUUUUAAAAUAUAUAUAUAUAUUAGAGAUUUUUAGAGUACAUGUUACUAUAUAACAUAGUUAAUUCGGAUUCGGCAAAAAUUCGGUACGGGUAUAAUUCGGAUAAAAUUCGCCUUCUAAUUUUUAAAUUCGUUGAAAAAUAAGGCUAAAAAACGGAUUCGCCAAUUAUUCGGAUACGUGAUUUAUACGGAUAUUAUACGUUCACCAAUUAAAAAUUCGGAAUAAAAAAUUCGGCUAUUAAAUUAAGUUUUUUUUCUCUCAAGAUUUAUGCUAUUAGCAUAAAUACUCAUAUUUCUUAAAGAAUAUAACAAUAAAGAGCUACAAAAUUAAGCUAAUUAAGUAAAAAAAAAUAGCAAACUAUAUUAUGCCCCAAAAUAAAUAAAUAAUUAAGCAAAUAAGAGAUNAUUAAGAUAGUCCAUAUAUAAAUAUAAAACAUAGAAGGUUCACAUACAAGCAUAGUUGGAAACUAAUACAAGAUAAAACUUGCACUUUGCAUAGCAGAGAAUGGACACAUUCAAUUUAAGCACUCGAGCCAUUUGUGUAUAAAAGAGUAUCCAUCAGAUGGACGAAAAGCUUCCAACUUUUGCUUUGAUCUACUUAAUUUUAUAUUAUCUUUUUGUCAGAUAUAUAAUUAUAUAUUCCAAAGGAAUAGAGUGACAGUGGAAGCUCUGUAGAUUUUCCUCGGCCACCUGUUUUUCGGGCCAUCAGAGUGACAGUGUAAGAUGAUUUCUCUUUUUUUAGAUAUGUUUUGCAGAUUCUUUUUCUGUAAUCAUAUUAUCAACAAUGUUUGUAUAUUCUUAUUGAAGAAUGAAAACUCAAAUCGUACCUAGUUUGUAAAGAGCGGAAGCGGAAGAGGAAGAGGAAGAGGCGACGAGGAGGGUUUUGAUUUCUAAAGAUUGAAGAACCCGAUCUUCGAUGUGGCCCCGCGGGGGCUUCCGAUGGCGUUCGGCGAGCGGCCAGAAGGGAAGGGGAAGGGAUAGGGGCUGGGGUAGGUGACAGGGCCGCAGGGGUGAGAAGCAAGGGCACAAACCUUUUGAUCGAGCAAUUUUUUUUUUCUUUUUUCUGUUUUGCGCGAGCGGCUAGCGCGACUUGCCGCCAUAGUUAGUUAAUUCGGAUUCGGCAAAAAUUCGGUACAAGUAUAAUUCGGAUAAAAUUCGCCUUCUAAUUUUUAAAUUCGUUGAAAAAAAGGGCUAAAAAACGGAUUCGCCAAUUAUUCGGAUACGUGAUUUAUAUGGAUAUUAUACGUUCACCAAUUAAAAAUUCGGGAUCAAAAAUUCGGCUAUUAAAUUAAGUUUUUUUUCUCUCAAGAUUUACGCUAUUAGCAUAAAUACUUAUAUUUUUUAAGAAUAUAAGAAUAAAGAGCUACAAAAUUAACACUAAUUAAGUAUAAAAAUACUAAACAAUAUUUAUGCCUCACAAAUAUAUAAUAUUUAAGCAAAUAAGAGAUCAAGAUAAGUCGCAUAUUUAAAUGUAAAUAUAAUAAAGGUUCAUACAAGUAUAGUUAGAACUAAAUACAGAUGAAACUGGCACUUUAGAUUGCCAUAUGCAUAUCUAAAAUUCUUAAAGUCUAAACAGUAAAAACAAAUAUAAUUACAUAAAGUGUAGAAGACCCAGUGAGUCAAUGUCCUUGAAAGACACUAACAAAUUUUCCUUUCUGCAAGUGUCGACAGAUCAUGAAAUUGAUUAAUAUAAUACCAAGAUUUCCUGUGCCAAGGUUUAUUAAGGAUUAUUUUUUGACUAUGUUUUGGUCUUCUUUGUGCAUAACAAUGGACAAUUUGACAAUUUAGCACUCAAGCGGCCAUUUGUUGUAUAAAAAAGUAUCUCAUAGAUGGCUAAAGCUUCCAACUUUUGCUUUAAGACAUGGAAACUCAAAUCGUACCUGUUUGUAAAACCACCCGAUUACUGAUCUAUGUUUAGAUAGCGGAAGCGGCAGCGGAAGAGGAGAGGCGACGAGAGAGGUCUCGAUUUCUGAAGAUGUGAAUGAACCGAUCUCCGAUCUCGAUUUCGAAGAGGCAGGCUUCGAUGCGAUCGCGCGAGCGGCGGAAGGAGGAGAGACCGCCGCAGGGUCGAUGGCAGGGCCGCACCGCCGCAGGAAUGAAAGUUAGGGCAAACCUUUUUCUUUGGAGGGGUGGGGCUGGACGGGCGAUGAAAAGUUUUUUUUUUUUUUUUUUUUUUUUUUUUUUUUUUUUUUGAGGCGAACUGCGAAGUUCUCUGAUUCGGUUUUUUUCUUUUGUUUUGGCCACCGCCAGGCCCACUAGUCGCGUCCAGCACGCGAGCGAACGCGGCCGGUCCUUUUGAGCGAUUAUUCGCGAACCGAUUUAAAUUUCUACGAAUGGGGGGGGGGGGGGUGGGUAUUACUUUUCUAUACUGUUUAUAAAACUAGAGUUUGUUAAAUUUUUUUCUCUUUUCAAAAAUAGCUCUUUCUUUUUACUAUUUUUAAAUUAAAUAUCCUCGCAUUUGAAUUUAAAUAAAAUGGAUCAAAAUAAAAUUUAAAUUUUAAAUUAAUAUGAAUUUUAUCGAAAAUAUCUCUAUUUUUUAACUAAAUUUUUCAUGUCCAGAAAUUUUGGUUUGUCAGAACAUAAAUAUCUCCAUUAUCUUCGCAUUUAAACUUAAAUCUUAAAGUAAAUCAAAAUUAAAUUUUGAAUUUUGAUUUAAGCAUGAAUUUCUUUCCAAAAAUGUCUCUAUCUUUUUUACUAAUUUUUUCAUCGUCAAAAAUUCUGAACCAUUUAUAUUAAAUACUUCAUUAAAUUUUGGAAAGUAGAUCGAAAUUAAAUUUUAACUUUUAAAAUUAAACAUAAUUAAAAUUUUAAUUAUAUAGAAAAUACCUUAAUACUUAUCCAUCCCCAAUUUUAUCUCAUCAUAAUACUUAUCCAUACAUAAAGUAUAUCUUAUUUCAAUAUUUUCUCAUCUCCAUCGCUACGUUUCUUAAAUAUAAUAAUAAUAAAGUAUAUCUUUUUUCAUUUUCACCUAUAUUUUUUUCCCAUUUGUCCCCGUUGCUGGCACCGGUAUAUCGCCAUCGCUGACACCGGCAUGUUGUCGCCUUCGCCACUUUUGUCACAUUUGGAGAGGUAUUUUGAUCUAAACUGAUGUUUUUUUAAUAUACUUUUAUACUAUUUUAGUAUAUCUAUUUUUUAGUAUUUUCUCAUUUACAUUUAUACAUUGGCACCGGCAUAUCGUCAUCGUCAUCGCCGACAACAGCAUAUUGUCGCCUUCGCCACCUUUGCCACAUUUGGAAAGAUAUUUUGAUCUAAACUGAUUUUUUUUAAUAUGCUUUUAUACUGUUUUAGUAUACCUUUUUUUCAGUAUUUUCUCAUUUACAUUUAUACAUUUAUCAAAUAUAAAAUAUAUAUUUUGUUAGUAAUAUCUUUUUUUUCAUUUUCAUCUAUAUUUUUCUCAAAUAUUUCAAAUAUUUUUUAGUAAUAUCUUUUUUCAUUUGUUCCCAUCGCCGACACCGACGCAUCGUCAUCGUUCUCAUCAUCGACAUCACCGGCACCGGCACAUUAUCACCUCAACCAUCUUUACCACAAUUAGAAAGGUAGAUCCCACUUAAUUUUUUUUUUUAAUAUGUCUUUAUACUGUUUUACGUUUUAAGUUUUUUUCAUAACUUUUAUCUCUUCUAUUGAGAUUGUGGCUUAAGAGAUUGUGGCUAAACUUAAGUAUAAGCAGAAAAAUUAUUAUUUGGGUACCUUAAAUUAUUUCUUUUAAUAUGUCUUUAUACUGUUUUACGUUUUAAGUUUUUUUCAUGACUUUUAUCUCUUCUAUUGAGAUUGUGUUAAGUAUAAGCAGAAAAAUUGUUAUUUGGGAUUUGGAUUGCUUAGAUUAAAUAUGGAUAAGACUGUCUAAUUUCGGCCUAUAGCGUAUUUAGAUUUAUGUUACGAUUGUGAUAAUUUACUGGGCUAAAUAAAAGAACCCACAAAAAAAAAGAAAAUAUGUAGAUAUAUUUAAUUGAUUUGGGUUUGAACUUGCUUAACUUGUAAUUUGGACUUGAAAUUGUUAAAUUUGAUUUGGGCUUGAACUUGCCUGGGUGUAAUAAAUUUAUCUAUACUACUUAUAAAAAAGUGAGUUUUUAAAUUUUUUUUCUUUUCCAAAAUGCUAACCCCUAUUAAUAUAAUUCUAAUCACAUACUAACAAUAUCAAUAAUUCAACUUUUAUUGGUAUAAAUCAUAGCCGUAUAAUUUAUUAUUUUAUUUUCUAAUUAUCAUAAAAUGUAUUAAUUUUUGUGAUCUAAUGCAAUGGCCGACCAAUUAAGUAUCUAUCAUUUUUUUUACAUAAAUUGCUUGAGGUCCUCAAGCAGUGCUUAUUAAAUCCGAAUUUUUAUAUAUCUAUCUUAUCUCCUAACAUAAUAUCCAUAUUCCAUCUUAUCUAAUAAUAAUUCUCUUUACAAUUCAUACUUAUCUAUACUAUAUAUAAAAGCAUAUAAAAAUUCUAAUAAUGACAGACGAAAUUAAAAAAGAAAUACAAAAAAUUUCAUGCCAAUGUUUAUGAUUAAUUUGUUAAAAAAAUAUUUCAAAUAAACAUGAAUGGUUAUGAUCAAUCUAUUAAAAAAUGGCAUCUUAUUUAUCAAUAUAUCAAAAUUUACGAAUUGUUAUGAUUAAUUUGUUAAAAAAUAUUUUAAAUAAAAAUAAAUGGUUAUGAUCAAUUUAUUAAAAAAAUAGCAUGCCUAUCCAUAGAUUUUACAUUAAAUUUAAAAUUUAAAUUUUAAUCAUAAAUUGAAUUUAAUAUUGGAUAUCAAAUUUGAACUAAUCAUUAAAAAAUUUUAAUUAUAAUGGAUCAAAAUUAAAUUUUAACAAAUUUAAAUUUAUAAAUUUGGAUAUCAAAUUUCAGUUAACAAUUAAAUAUUUAAUUCUGGUGAAUCAAAAUUAAAUUUCAAAUUUCAAAAUAAAUGUGAAUUAAAUUUUGACGCUUUUAGUUUAAACAAUAUACUUAAAUUUUAAAUUUAUUAGAAUUUAAAAAAUAUAAAAAUAAUAUAGAAUAUUGCAGAUAUUUUCUAAUAUAAUAUAACAUAUAAAUUUAUCAAAUAUAAUUUUUAUUGUAUAUUUUAAAUUUUCAUACUAUCCACUAUCUCUCAAUUAAUUAACUAAAAAUAAAUUAUAUUUGAAAAUUAGAGUGAUUAAAAAAUAAGCUUAUCAAAUCGAUUUUAAAUUUUAUGUUUGCUUCAUAAUUUCAAACGUGAAUCCAUAAUUUAAUUUAAAAUUUAAAAUUAAUUUAAAAUUUUAAUAUUUGGCUAUAUAAAUAGGCUGUUUCAAAAUGCAAAUAAUUAAAUUAUAUACUCCAAAAACUAUUUAUUUUCAAAUUAGGAUUCAAAUUAAUUUUAAAUUUUAAAUUUUGUUCAAAAAUUUAAAUGUGAAUCAUUAACUUAAAAUUUA